GGUAGAAGAACUUGUCGUCGAUGUCCUCCUCCAUGAGCAUCCGGGAGAUGAAGGGGAGGACGAGGUCCGGGUCGUCGUCGUCGUCGUCGUCGUGGUCGUGGGUCGGGCGCCCCGGCGGCGUCGGGGGCAGGUCGAGGAAGACGGAGGGCGAGAAUGGCUCCUGCGCCGCCAGGUACGGCGCAGCCCCCUCCUGCGCCGCCAGGAAGUCCUCCGGCGUGGCGGACAUGGUGGCCGUCUUGGCUUCGCUCGUCGCUCGGCGGCGGCGGUGGUGCGGGGCGGUGGGCGGAACACGGAAGGGGUGGAAAUCGGAGGAGGAUUUUUACUUGGCGUGGGGGAAUUGGGAACCGGACUUGUUUGACUUGGGGAGCAGAGCAGUGGACGCCUGAAGCGAGACGGCGGCUGGAAUAGCUAGCUGCUGGUAGCCUAGGGGAUGGGGGAUCCGGGACGGCGGUGGUUGGGGGUGGCUGGUUUUGAUUUUGAAGGCCGGGGGCGGGAGGUGGAGGAGAGGCGGAAGAAGGUUCCGCGAAGGCCACCGUGGGUUGGGGAGAGGAGACGGCGAUCCUCGCCGAAGGCGAAAGGAAGCGCAACUGCGACUCACCUGCUGCUGUGCUGGGGGAAAGGGAGGUGGAAUUGUGGAAAGGCGGCUGAGGCUCCCCUGCUUCCCCGGUCGGUUGCCGGUUGGGUGGGACCCAUGUUGGCAUGGGCUUUGUUUAGUUUUUAAAAAAAUUUGUAAAAUUUUUCAGAUUCCUCGUUACAUCAAAUCUUUAAACACAUACAUUAAGUAUUAAAUAUAGUUAAAAAUAAAAACUAAUUGCACAGUUUGGUCGAAAUUGACGAGACGAAUCUUUUAAGUCUAGUUAGGGCCUGUUUAGAUUGGGGAAGAAAAAUUUUUGGGUGUCACAUCAAAUGUGUCGGAAGGAUGUCGGGAUGAGUUUUUAGGAACUAAUAAAAAAACAAAUUACAUAGCUCGUCAGGAAACUGCAAGACAAAUUUAUUAAGCAUAAUUAAUCUGUCAUUAGCAUAUGUGGGUUACUGUAGCACUUAAGGCUAAUCAUGGAGUAACUAGGCUUAAAAGAUUCGUCUUGCGAUUCUCAACUAAACUGUGUAAUUAGUUUAUUUUUUUAUCUACAUUUAAUGUUCUAUGUAUGUGUCCAAAGAUUCGAUGAGAUGGAUGAAAAAAUUUUGAGUGAUGAACUAAACAGGGUCUUAGUCCAUGAUUGGACAAUAUUUGUCAAAUACAAAUGAAAGAGUUACGGUGUUAAUUUUGCAAAAUAUUUUUGAAAAUAUUCGUUUUAGUUAUUACUAGUUACAUAUAAGCUAUUUUGUUUGACAAACAAACGAGGACACAGACCUGUUCUCGUCACCCGAAAAGGAUACGUUCAGCGACAUACAUGGAGCAGGUGUCACACAGAACCAUUGUGUCCAAAAGUCAAGCAGUCAGUCUUGACCAUACAAAAAAAACGUAGAAGAAGGCCUUGUUUAGUUCCAAAAUUUUUAGCAAAAUGAGCACUGUAGCAAUUUCGUUUGUAUUUUACAAAUAUUGUUCAAUCAUAGACUAACUAGGCUCAAAAGAUUUGUCUCGUCAAUUCCGACCAAACUGUGCAAUUAGUUUUUAUUUUUAUCUAUAUUUAAUACUCCAUGCAUACAUCUAAAGGUUCGAUGUGACGGGAAAUCUGAAAAAUUUUGCAAAAUUUUUUGAACUAAACAAGGCCGAAGCUUACAGACAACAAGGUGAUGAUCGAGACCAUCCAGCUCGCCUCAAACCCCCGGACCCCAUCUUCCCUACUUUUUUUUUUUUGGAGAAUCAGUCGAUGCUCAAGCAUGGAGGAAGAAAAACAGUAGAUAGUCUUUUUCUUCACUUUGCCCAGCCCAGCACAGGUGAGCGGCCCAUUGAAAGCCCACCAUUGCACACUUCUCCUUACCUUAGGCCCUGUUUAGAUUGGAGAUGAAAAUUUUUUGGGUGUCAAAUCGGAUAUGUCGGAAGGAUGUCGGGAGGGGUUUUUAGAUACUAAUAAAAAAACAAAUUACAUAGCUCGUCAGGAAACUGCAAGACAAAUCUAUUAAGUAUAAUUAAUCUGUCAUUAGCACAUGUGGGUUACUGUAGCACUUAAGGCUAAUCAUGGAGUAACUAGGCUUAAAAGAUCCGUCUCACGAUUUUCAAUCAAACUGUGUAAUUAGUUUAUUUUUUUAUGUACAUUUAAUGUUUCAUAUAUAUGUCCAAAGAUUCGAUGGGAUGGAUGAAAAAAUUUUGGGCAGGGAACUAAACAGGGCCUUAGCCCAAUCGGUGGAAUCCCUAAUCUCUGAAUCACCCGUGCCCGACGCCCUAGCGAGGCCACGAGGAGCCACCCGGCGUCCAGGCACCCACCGACGGAUCAGCCAUCGUGCUGCCACCGUGCCAUGCCGUUGCCCGUGCCCGUGGUCGCCACUGGCUCAUGGCCAGCCGCCCGCCUCGAUGCCUUGCCUCCCACCGCUGCACCGGCCACCGGGAGGAGCAACCGAGCUGUGGCCUAGCGCAACUGCAGCAGACUAGCUCUGCCCUACCGUUGCCAGGUGGCAGGACAACAGCCCACAGGAGCCGGCUCCGCAGACUACUCAUCCACUCACUUUUCGCCUCUGCCUCGUUCAUUAGUUGGGGGUGUUCAAAUUUAACAUUAUCAGUAUCAUUUUUGUUUUAUUUAAUAAUUAUUGUCCAAUUAUAGACUAAUUAAGCUAAAAAAAUUCUUCUCCCAAAUUAUUCUGUUUUUAGUUUUAUAAACAAUAUAUAUUUAGUACUCGUGUCUAAACAUUCAAUGUGAUAGGUGAUAAAAAAAUCACAGGUAACUAAACAGAGUCUAAGAUUUUCCGUCACAUCUAAUCUUGCGACACAUGUACGGAGCAUUAAAUAUAAAUAAAAAAAUAACUAAUUACACUUUUUGUUUGUAAGACGAAUCUUUUGAGCCUAAUUAAUCUAUGAUUGGACACUAAUUACCAAACACAAACGAAAGUGCUACAUAGAGAAAUAAAAAAAAACGGAUCUACACAAAGCCGUAGUUCCUGGAAAUUUUGCAAAUUUUUCAAGGUUAUCUGUCACAUCGAAUCUUGUGGCACAUGCAUAAAGAGAUCAAAAAAUAAUUAAUUGUAUAGUUCGGCUGUAAUUUGCGAGACAAAUUUUUGAUCUUAGGCCUUGUUUAGUUCUAUUUUUUUUGCAAAACGGAUAUUGUAGCACUUUCGUUUGUAGGUAAAACGGACACUGUAGCGUUUUCGUAUAUGUUUAAUGCUUCAUACAUGUAUCGUAAGAUUCAAUGUGACGCAGAAUUUUUAAAAAAAUUAGUAUUUUUUUUUUUACAACAAAGGUUUUUAGUAUUUGACAAGGCCUAUAGCAGAGAGAGGGGGAGAGAUUUCUCUAUAUGUGGGCCCAUGAAACCAUACUUUGUUCGCCCUAUUGCUGGAGCUACCCUAAAGAGUGCUUUGCUGCUCACCGUCGGAAAAAAGGCUGUUUAGUUCACCUUGAAAACCAAGAUUUUAAGAUUUCCCGUCAUAUCGAAUCUUGCGGCACAUUCAUGAAACAUUAAAUAUAGAUAAAAAUAAAAACUAAUUACACAGUUUGCCUAUAAAUCGCGAGACAAAUCUUUUGAUCCUAGUUUUUAUUUUUGUCACAAACAAACGAAAGUGCUACAGGAGCGAAAUCCAAAAUAUUUCCGUAUCUAAACAAGGCAAAAAAAGAGUGCUUUGCUGCUAAAAGUAGAAAGCCAACGUUGACACAUGAAGCUGCUUAGGGUGUGUUUAGAUGCACCUAAAAAUUCAAAAGUUUACAAGAUUUUCUAUCACGUCGAAUCAUGCGGCACAUGUAUAGAGCAUUAAAUAUAAAUAAAAAAUAACUAAUUGCACUGUUUACUUAUAAAUUGGUAGACAAAUUUUUAAGCCUAGUUAGUCUAUGAUUGGAUAAUAUUUAUCAAAUACAAACGAAUGCGCUAGUGUUAAAAUCCAUUUUUUUUGCAUCUAAACAAGACCUUAGUUUUCAAAAGUAGUUCUUCAGGUCAGUACAAUUUUGGAAGCAUCUUGAACUUUUUUUACUUUUAUCAUUCUGCUUUUCAAAAUGGGUGGAAAUAGAGAGCUACUCCCUCCAUCCCAAAUUGUAAGUCAUUCCAAUAAUCUUAGAGAGUCAAACUUUUCUAAGUUUGACUAAAUUUAUAUUAUAAAAUAAUUAUUAUUAUGGUACUAACUAAGUAUAAUUAGAUUCUUUCUUAAUUAUAUUUUCAUAGUAUACUCACUUUAUGUUACAAAUCUUAGUAUUUUUCUCUAUAAUUUUGGUCAAACAUGAAAAUGCUUUGACUCUCUAAGAUUCUUGAAAUGACUUACAAUUUGGAAUAGAGGGAGUAUUUCAAGAAAAUUUCUAUACUUGUUUUAGCUAAACUGCUUAUAGAUUUUUCACAGCAUAUAGCUUCACAACAACUUUUUUACAGCUAGCUUAUAACAAAUCUUUCAGAACUUAGACCUGAACCAAACGCUAUAUAUGUCACGAGGAAGGUAAGCAUUGGAUACCGACUGGCCGGAAGUGAUUGUAGAGGGCUACAGUGUUGUAAUAUAGAGUACAUGGGUCUUGACUCUUGAGUCGCAUGUAGUCCCUCCGUUCUAAAAAGAGUGUCGUUUUAGAUUUUUGUGCUACAAGUUUGACUCGAUUUGUAGAAAAUAUAUGUAAUAUUUAUAUCUCUAAAUAAAUUUGUUAAAAAAACUAGACUUAAAGAUCUUUUCAAUGAUACUAAUUAUGUAUUAUAAAUACUAAUAUUUUUUACUAUAUAUUUAGUUAAAGUUAUUUCUCGGAAAGUGAAAAUGACACUUAUUUUGGGACAGAGGAAGUAGUGACUACAAGCCAUUUAUUACUGUAUUAUUACAAAAAAUAAAAACUGAAGGAUGGCAAGGGACCAACUAUAUCAUGGGUAUUUGUGUAUUUAGCUACUAGCCCUACGAGAUUUUUUUUAAAAAAAAAACUGCUGUAAUAAGCAACAGUUGGCGAGGAGAAAAUAAUAAAAGUCCAAACAGAUUAGGGUCUUGUUUAGUUUGUGGAUCAAACGUUUUCAGGUGUUAUAUCAGAUAUUUUUUGAGAUGUUAAAAAAGGUGUUUGAUACUAAUUAAAAAACUCACUACAUACUCCCUCCGUUCUGCAAUGUAAGUUCAUUCUAGGAUUCAAAAUUUGUCCUCAAAUAUAAAGCAUUCUAAAGGACAAAACUAUUUUUGCAUUAAAUAUUUUUCUGUUUAUCAACCAAUACCACUAAUCAUGUUUAUGAUAGCAUCUGAUUAGGAAAUAAAAUGGCGGUGCAUGUGUCUUUUGUGUUCUCUCUUAAUUGUCUUACAAUUCUUAGAAUACACUAUAUUACAAGACAGAGAGAGUAAUUUGCCUGGAAAACAUGAGAUAAAUUUAUUAAGCUUAAUUAAUCUAUGAUUAGCACAUAUGUAUUAUUGUACCAAUUAGACUAAUUAGGCUUAAAAGAUUCGUCUUAUGGUUUUCAUAAAAAUUAUGCAAUUAGUUAUUUUUAUUUAUAUUUAAUGUUCCAUGUAUGUGUAAACAUUCAAUGGGACAGGACGGAAAGUUUUAGAUUGAAACUAAAUAGAGCCCAGGUGCUAUUUGGUAACUCCAGAAAUUAGAUACAUUCAUCAGUUAGUGAUAACAAUAAUGAUGGCAAGGGCGGCUAUUUGCCAGGAACCCCACUAAUGGUGGAUUAUCAAUGUUAUAUAUACCUGCAAUCAUUAACGAUGGCAAGGGCGGCUAUUUGCCAACAACCCCACUAAUGGUGGAUUAAUCAAUGUUAUAUAUAUCUGCAAUCAUUAAUGAUGGCAAGGGCUAUGGUGUUCGCUUCAGCCAAAUCUAUCAGUUAUUCAAUAAUAUUUUUCUCUUACAGUAAAUCAACGAACAAUACUUUUUGCCAUGUCUUAUCAGCCAAACGAACAGAGCAGUGACGAUACACAAACUUCGGCCCUGUUUAGUUUUCCACGUAUUUUUUUAUCUAUCCUAUUGAAUCUUUAGACACAUGUAUUGAGCACUAAAUAUAGGCAAAAAAUAAAUUACACAAUUUAGUUGUAAAUCGCGAGACCAAUCUUUUAAGCCUCAUCAAUUCAUAAUUAGCCAUAAUUGCUAUACGGUAAGCCACAUGUGCUAAUGACAAAUUAGUUAGGCUUAAUAAAUUCGUCUCGCAGUUUCCAAACAAGCUAUGUAAUUUAUUUUUUGAUUAGUUUACGUUUAAUGCUUCAAAUGUGUGCCGGCAUAUUCGAUGUGAGUAAACUAGGGCCCUGUUUAGUUCUUAAUUUUAAGAUUUCGUAUCAAAACGAAUCUUUGGACACAUGCACACAUUGCGAGACGAAAUUUUUCAGUCUAGAUAGUCCAUAGUUAGACAAUAAUUACCAAAUACAAACAAAAAUGAUACAGUAGUCAAACCUAAAAUGUUUCAUGAACUAAACAUUUCCAAAAAAAAUUCUAAAAUUUUUCAAGAUCUAUCGUCACAUGGAAUCUUUAUAUAUAUAUAUAUAUAUAUAUAUAUAUAUAUAUAUAUAUAUACACACACACAUUAAAUAUAAAAAUAAAAAUAACUAAUUAUAUAGUCUAUCUAUAAUUUAAUAAAUCUUUUAAGUAUAAUUAAUCUAUAAGACUAAACAAGGCCUAGGCACAUUACCAGCAAGCCGCCUGGUGACAUAUUCCGUGACAUGGCUUUGGCCUACGAACUUGCAUAUAUAAAUUGAGGCGCGAAGAGUCCCACUUCACUCAACACUCGAGCAGUGGAGCUGAAGAAGCCUUCCCCCCAAGAGCCACAGAGAGCAUGGCCGCUGCUCCCAUGGUGGUGCCGCGCAUGAAGCUGGGCUCGCAGGGGCUGGAGGUCUCGGCGCAGGGCCUCGGCUGCAUGGGCAUGUCCGCCUACUACGGCCCGCCCAAGCCGGAGCCGGACAUGAUCGCGCUCGUCCACCACGCCGUCGCCGCCGGCGUCACACUCCUCGACACCUCGGACGUGUACGGGCCCCACACCAACGAGCUCCUCCUCGGCAAGGCGCUGCAGGCAGCAGGCGGGGUGAGGGAGAAGGCGCAGGUGGCCUCCAAGUUCGGCAUCCUCACGGACGCCGACGGCAACUGGGGCGUCCGCGGCGACCCGGCGUACGUGCGCGCCUCGUGCGAGGGCAGCCUCCAGCGCCUCGGCGUCGACUGCAUCGACCUCUACUACCAGCAUCGCAUUGACAGCAAGGUGCCCAUCGAGGUCACGGUGAGUUCGCUUCCACCCUUAGGCAAAGGCUUUAGCUUCAAUUUCAUAUUUGUAAAAAAAAACUCAGCCAAGGCAUUUUUUAAUAUUCCAUAUUAAGAAAAAUUCUUGAGGACACUGAGUACCAUAAAGGUGAGUGGACACUGCAUUCUAAAUAAUGCAGAAGGUGAGUGGACACUGAGUUCCAUAGUAGUGAUCAGAAGUUGCAUCUUCUGAAUAAACAAAGUAUUCAAUGGCUUCCUUGAGUCUCUGCAAUGCAUGCCUUUGGCCCUUUGCUCAAGAAAAAGAAGUUCCAAGAUUCAAAAGCAGAGACGGAGUGGACUGAACCACAAUGCACUCCCUAACCUGAUGAAUAAGCUUAUGAACCUGCUUGACUUCCAUGCACAGGUAGGUGAACUGAAGAAACUAGUCGCAGAGGGCAAGAUAAAAUACAUUGGUCUGUCCGAAGCAUCGGCGUCGACGAUCAGGAGAGCGCACGCAGUUCAUCCCAUCACCGCUGUCCAACUGGAGUGGUCUCUCUGGUCAAGAGAUGUUGAAACUGACAUAAUCCCGACUUGCAGGUCUUUUCUUUUUCAUGACCAAAACUGCAUCUAUAUUGUUGAGCCACCAACAAAACUGUAUCCAUAUUGUUUAUUUACUUGUUCAUGCUCUGGCAAUUUCAGGGAGCUUGGCAUUGGAAUAGUGGCAUAUAGUCCACUGGGCAGAGGGUUCUUGUCAAGUGGUCCUAAGCUGGUCGACACCUUGUCUGAUCAAGAUUUCCGCAAGGUUUAUACCUCUAAUAAGCACUCUUUUAGUAGUAAGUACCACAGCCCAGAUUAUACUGACGCACCAUUUUAACCUUUUUCACUGAAACCAUUUCCAGGACCUGCCUAGAUUCCAGCCGGAAAACAUGGAGAAGAACGCCGUGAUCUUUGAGAAAGUGAAUGCAAUGGCGGCGAGGAAGGGGUGCACGCCGUCGCAGCUGGCGCUGGCCUGGGUUCACCACCAGGGACCCGACGUCUGCCCCAUACCCGGGACAACGAAGGUUGAGAAUUUCAACAGCAACGUGGCGGCGCUUUCGGUGAAGCUGACACCUGAAGACAUGGCUGAGCUCGAGUCCUACGCGUCGGCGGAUGUCCAGGGUGAUCGCUACAAUGAGUCCUUCCUCGCCGCUUGGAAGGAUUCUGAGACACCUCCCCUCUCGUCCUGGAAGGCUGAGUAACGUACACGCAUCGUUUCACAACAUUUCCAAUCCUUGGUGUUGGCAAAUAAGCACGUACCGGCAGUGUCCGCCGUGAGUAAGAUAUGUGGGCGUUGAUACUUGUGUAGUUGCUCAUGUCUCGUUUCUGUUGUUGCAUUGUGUCAAUAUUAUAUUCAAGAAAUGCGAAAAGCAUUCAGGGUAUCAAUGAAUUAUGUUACAUGAAAAAGCUGCUAUGUCCGUGACACAAAGUAAAGCUUCUUCCAAAUUAAAUCCACACACUAUUGUUCAAAUCCCCCGACCCCUUAAUGGCUUAAUCCCAAUAUCUGUUAUUAUUGUUUUCUUUCUCAAUGAUGAUUUGUUUACUCGAUAUUAACUAGAGUUAUAUAUAUCUAAUCUCUUUUUCUUCUCUUCUCUACAACUAGAAAGAUUUAACGUAAUUUCUUUUUCCAAAAAAACAAACAAGGGAGUUCAGACUCUUUCUCUGAAACUCCCAUUCCCUACCACCAAUUCCCUCCCAACCAAAUGAGAUGUUAGCAUCACCGCUUCAAUCCCCCUCCUCUCUCUAUCCAGUCAUCUCGCUGGUGGUUAGAGGGGUGGGGACCCUACCCUUUUGUAGAUCUAGGUUUGUUCUCGGUUUCUCAUAUGUUUUGUUUCUAGUAUCAUCGACGAGGUUGCCACAAUGAUGGCAUUUGGAAUAAGGUCUCUCCCUACCUCGACAACAUUCGAUAUGGCGUCGACCAAGGGCAAAUGAGAGUAUGAUUUGUCAGAUUUGUUGGUUCUCUUUAGUUCUUGGCAGUUGUUGCGUUUAUCUUGAAAAGCAGUUGGCUGACUUUCGAUGCAACGAUCAAGACAUCUUUUGGUCUAUUUGACAACAAGGCACGGUAUUUUCAACACUCUUUUGAUGGUAAAGAAUUAGAAGCUUCUGUUUCUUGGAGGGUUCCUUCAGUCGAUAUUCUUUCAGUGUGUACUAGAUCUCUUUGUCAGUAGCGAGUGCCUUUUGUGAUGUUCAAAGCCAUAUUUAGCGAGGAUAUUGGCAGGUGUUCUUUUUUCUUUAUUGACUAUUCAGCGUGAGUUCCAAGUUCCGGCAAACAACACAUGAUCCAAGGAACAAGACAACCGAUAGGCAACAUGUUUGUUACAUUCAUGCAGCUAGCUGCAAUAUUAAUUUUCUGUAUGUUUGGUUCAGCUUGCUAACUUAUUGCGCGUAGAAAAUGUUUGGCCUGAAUUUUUAUUCAGAGUUGCUUGUUUAUGGUAAAAAGAACCUUUUUUUUCUUUUUUUUAAGCAGAAAAAAACUUUUUAUUUUCUGGCCGCUGGGCGAUUUUUCUCGGCCUGUUUUCCUCGUUAUCCGGCCAUGCCCAGCUUCAGACCCUUACUUUUCGCGCCUCCCUCCCACUCCUUUGUUUUGGGCCGUGGCCCAUUAAAGCCGACCGCACAGCACCACCAGAGCCCGAAAGACAGUGUGGCCCAAGAGGAGAAGUGCAAAGCUAUGCAGCCCGGCCUUUUCCUCUCAAAAAAAAAAAGAAGCAGCCCGGCCUUUUGGUGCCCUCGUGUUACUCAAAGAAGAGAAACUCCUGCAACGUCAUCCAGUCAUCACCAUUUCAGAUCCCCCCCUCACUCCAGUAACUUUCAGGUAGAAGAAAUCGAAAACACAUCAUCGUGUUUACACAUUUGUUUUUCAAGAACAUAGUGCCCCCAUCCCAAAUUACAAGACAUUUAACGCUUUCGACCUUAAGUUUAACCACUCAUUUUAUUCAAAAAAUUUGUACAAACAUUAUUAAACUAAAUCAUUCUUAAAAAAAACUUUUAUUGAUAAACUAAACCACAACAAAAGAAAAUAAUAAUUUACAUAAUUUUUUUGAUUAAAACGAGUGGUUAAAUUUGGUUUUAAAAAAACCAAACGUUUUAUAAUUUAGAAUAAAUUGAGUAACAUUUAUACACGUCACACAACAACAACCAGUUUUUCGGGGAAGGGGGAAAAAAAAAAAAGAGGAAAGGCAGUGCGCGUGCAGGCGCAUUAAAUUUUGAGCCGGGGUCGGGUGCCGACGGCCGACGGCGAGAGCCAAGACAAAGGGCAGCCGAAAGCGGCGGCACAUGCCGGGCCCGGCUGGGGCUGGGCAGGGGAGGGGGCGCAGGGGCACCGCCACGCUGCCCGGUGCCCACGCACGCAUGUGAAGGGCCGCGUAUCCGUGCACGCGUACUCCCGCUCGCACACACUAGUAGGCCGCUCCGGGCACACAAGUGUCGUGCUGGCGGCCCUUGUUGCAUUGGCCGGACACAGCGCUUUCCGCUCGGCUCGGCGACCACCGCCCACGAGGGGCAGCGAGCGAGCAGUUAGCUAGCUAGGCGCGCCGGCCGGAUACGAGCCAACAAAAGCUUCAACCACCAGCACAUGCGCAGCGUACGCGCGCCGUGUCGCCGGGCGGGGUCGACGACGACGCGCGACGUGCCAACGCCCGCCCGCCCGGCCGCUUGUUUACUGUCCAGUCAGCACUCAAGCUAGCCGCCAUGCAUGUCCGGCCGAGAGAGCACACUCGGGAUCGACAUGUGAGCACUCACGACGUGCUUGGUGGCGUGUGAAAAAAACUGAAAAAAGACGAUCGAUCGAUCGAUCCGCUGCAUGCAUGUGAGCAAGUCGCGGUCGUCCGUCCUAGUGCAAAUGCAACCAGUUGUGCCAAACGCGAGCGAGACCCUCUGCCCCCAGUGACCCAUGCCAUGCCCCAUGGCAGCAGCAGCAGCAGGAGGAGGAGGAAAGCAAAUAAAAGCAGCCGUGCGUGGCCCGUGGGGGAUCGGGAGGCGUCGGUGUCGUCCGCCGUAAUCACGGACGGAAUGAAGUUCGGGGGUUUGGGUUCGUUCGACCAUCACUUCGUGCGUGCUUCGUACUACAGUACAGGAUCGGCCACGAGCACAGGACGAGCUAAUCACGGGAUUUGAUUGGAAAAAAACGCAGUCAACCAACUAGGAGAACAGCAGCAAGUAGUCGCCGUGACACCCUCUACCGCAUAUCUAUCGUUCAGCAGCGUGCCGGCCCGGAUAGGUUUGGUUCCCGCUGGGCCUGUCUUGUGGUCAGACAUGACAUGACCUGGGACGUGGCUGGACUCUUAAUUAUAUUGGGAGUACGUGUUCACGUUAAGCUUUCAUUUCUUUCAUACUACUACCUAGACUAGCUAGAUGACCCCAUUACCACUUACAUACACUUUGCCACCGAGGCACCGACACUAUAUAUGGUUUCACACACAGUUUGGCCGCAACAGCAGCAGGCUUCAGCACUCUUAUUAACAGUGGAUGCUGCCCUCGUAGCUGGUGAGAUGCGCGCCUGCGCGUCACAUGGAUCCACCAACCGCACCAACAAAGCACACCAUUCAUGCAUGCAUGCAACAAGCCGUCCUCCGGCCGUCGUCGUCCCUCUCACAAAGCAAGGCGCAAAGCCGGACGCCUAGCAAGGCAGUUACAAAAUAUUUUGCAAAAUCGACACUGUAGCUUUUUCGUUUGUAUUUGACAAAUAUUAUCCGAUCAUAGACUAACUAGGCUCAAAAGAUUCGUCUCGUUAAUUUCGACUAAACUGUGCAAUUAAUUUUUAUUUUUGUCUAUAUUUAAUACUUCAUGCAUGUGUUUAAAGAUUCGAUGUGACGGAGAAUCUGAAAAAAUUUUGCAAAAUUUUUUGGAAACUAAACAAGGCCCAAGUGUACUAGUAGCCCGUAGCUAGCUAGCUAGGCACGUUGUGUAGCAUGCAGAUGAGAACGGAAUAAGCACGCAUGUAUAGUAGUAUUAUGAAGCAUGAUUAGAGGGAGACACGGCCCUGCGGGUGGUGGGCGGCGGCGGCGCUGGUCCAUGCAUGACUCCAUGUCCAAGCAACGCGCAACGCCACUGCAACGAACGAGAGCAGCAGCAGUGUGAGCGAGUGUCGGUGCCCGGCCGGGGCCGAGACACACAACACAACACAAGCAAAGCAAAUAAAGCGAGCACGGCACGAACCGAGAGCCAGCGUGUAGUAGUACGUGACCGUCCAUGACCAUGAGCGCACGACGCCCCUGCGUCCGUCCGUCCGUCCGUCCGUCCGCGCGCGCGCAUGCAUGAUCGCACCGUCGGUGGCGGACUGGCGGUGGCGGUGGGCGGCACGUGGUCCUCCCCGCCCGCCCGCGCAUCAUUUCGCGACUGACCCUUGCCCGGCGCCUGGCCGCGACAGGGCGAAUGUUUUUUUUCCCCCCGGAUCCCUCCCCUGUCUCACGCGACGCAUGGACGCAUGGUAUAGACUAUAGAGAGCGGGUCGGUGCGCGGCCACGUACCGCCCCCGCCUGCGCCACCUGAGGUUCAGCACCGGCCAGCAGCAGGCUGCAGGCACCCGCGCGCCGGGAUGGAUGGAUUGGCAAAUGGCACGGCCGUCGCUCGCUGCGCGCCCACACCGAGGGAACGCGUGCGAUACGUCCCAUGGGCCGUGGGGGUGGGGUGGUACGUCCAGUACUCCAGUGCAGUGCGGUACUAUGGUCGCUGACCGGUGGCUAUCUCGGUUGGCUAGGUUAUUUGUUGGUUGCGCUAGCUUGCGCCUGCGUCGAGGGGCGACGCCUGACGUACGUACCGGUCCAAGCAUGCAGAACUAACCAACCAUCCAGCAGCGGCGGUUGCUCGUACGGACGACGGCCGUUGCAGUUUGGAUGCACCCGACCGGCCGCUGUCUUUCUCAAAUCUCAAUCGGCGAGGAGGAUGAGGAGAAAUUAACGGGGAGAAAGUGUGCGCGGCGCGCGCCAUCAUGGAGAUGAUGACCGAGAGAGGUAUGUACGUCGUGGUAGCCGCAUGUUACGGAGCCCAAAACCAACCGGACAGGGGGGGGGAACAUGGCCGUGCCUUCCGGAGGAUCCCCCGGACCUCUUUUCAGAUACAUCAUCAGUGAGUGGAGCUAGGCCUUUUUCCCGUCCUGGGUGGUGACUAGUGAGGGGGGAGCUGAGGGUCAACCUCCACUCCCGCCCGUCUUGUGCCGCACCUCGAUCAACAGGUCAUUAGGAAACACGGCAAAAGCUUUUUUCUUUGUAAACUUCGCGUCGCGGCGUCUGUGAUCCAACUCAUAUCCUUUCACUUUCGUUUCGAAACGAAACAGACGAGAAAAAGCUGAGUGCAAGUUCAUAUACUAAAUCAACACCGGGACAUCAGGGAGAGCUCCCGAUUUUUUUGUAUCCUCGAUGGUGACACCAUACUGCAGCUCUUACGAUCCUAGCUACUAGUAUAGUAGUACUCCACAUAGGAUCCGUCGUGUCGAUCCGCGUCGAAAUUAAAAGAUAGUACUCUCCCUCCAACAAUUCCACGGCCUCGUCAAGGAAGGAAUCGAAGGAUAUGGAUAAUGGAUGCCAAUAAUCAUUGGCGGAUGCACGAGGGGGGCUGGGGUGGCUGCAGCCCCCUCUUGGGCUCAAUUUUUUUUUAACACAUUUUCUUUUUUUAGCAAAAGACUUCAUAUAUUUAGUAUUUUUAUAUGUUUAUUUUAUGAAUCUUUGUCUUUGAACACUUUGAAUCAAUAUUGAAUUAUCAAUCUUAGCUAUAUCUAUUAGGUUUUGUUUAGUUCCCAAAAUAUUUUACAAAAUUUUUCAGAUUUUUCAUCACAUCUAAUCUUGCGGCACAUGUAUGAAGCACUAAAUAUAGAUAAACUAAUUACACAGUCUACCUGUAAUUUGCGAGACGAAUCUUUUAAGCCUAGUUAGUCCAUGAUCGGACAAUAUUUGUCAAAUAUAAACGAAAAUGCUACUAUUCGUGUUUUGCAAAAAAAUUUGAAACUAAACAAGACCUCCUUAGUGUACUGGAUUGAGUGAGCAAAAAAAAUUUUAACAUGUAUUAUUUAGCCCCCCUCUUGGUCCAUUUCUGGAUCCGCCACUGCCAAUAAUAAUGCACUCCCUAUACUGAUGAGUGAUUAUUACGAGCAGUAUUGGGCCGUCCCGUCCCGUCCCGUCGCGAUUCAGAUAAAAACGCCGGUGGGUGCUCUGCGCUCUCCUCUGCUCUGCUGUGUACGCCAAUCUAUACCACCAUCAUUGUCACCACGGAAUGAAGCGGACACCUCACAUGCGGAGCACGCGCCGCCCGCCGCUGCAUGCCUCGACCAACCAGGCGGCGAUAUCGACGACCACCGCACGUAAAGCCGUUGCUAUGGCUACAUAGCGACACGGAGCGCGCAUUUUCUGGGCUCUCUUGCCACUCUUGUUUAAUUUCUUUUCCCCCCAUUUCUUGGUAUAUAAAAACAUUAUCUUUUUCUAGUAUGUGUGUGUGUGUGUGUAAAGUGGGAAAGGCCAUACACAAUUGUCAAGUGCCAAGUCAGGUUCUCCAGGGGCUCUCGCUCGAUCAGGGCAGGGCCGCCCGGUGACUGAUUGGAGCGGAAAGCUUGGUGCAUGUGCGCCGAUCCACCACGAGCACGAGGCCCUGGGAUCCCUUUUGUGAGUCUAGUCGCCGGAAUUGGUGGGGUUGGCCUCAUCCAAUGCAUACACACCAACAACAACUCAUGCAUCCAUGUUCAUCAUACUAUAAUGUGCUUGUUAGUAGCUGAAUACUCUUAUUAUUAAGUCACGAUUGAUUGAUAUAUAACUGUUUCGGCCGGAUGUGCAUAUGUUUAUCACUAUUAUAUAUAUCAAACUAAUUAAAUGUGCAUAUAGCAGGGACGGAUGGAUGGCCGACAGAGGCCCCUCGAUGGCUCGAUCUACCUCUGGUGGGACUCAGACCGGGAAGAAUAUGGACAUGGUGGCAACCAAAAGACUUUUUGUCAAGUUUGAACCUGGACAUGGUAAAUCUAUAGCGAUCGAUAAGAUUAAAUUUUAAAAACAAAAUUGAGAUUAAUUAAUAACAUUGUAUAAGAUAUAGGCUGCGACAAGUGCCACAAGAAGAGCUAGGCUUGUUUAGUUCCAAUUUUUUUUUAGCAAAACGAGUACUGUAGCACUUUCGUUUAUAUUUGACAGAUAUUGUUCAAUCAUGAACUAACUAGACUUAAAAUAUUCAUAUAGCAAAUUAUAGACAAACUAUUUAAUUAGUUAUUAUUUUUGUUUUAUUUGAUGUUUAUAUAUGUGCCGCAAAAUUUGAUGUAACGGGGAAUCUGAAAAAUUUUGAAAAUUUUUUUAGAACUAAACAAGGCCUAGUUUCAAUUAAAUACACAUUGACGAAACAUAAAGAUCAAUUAAAUAAUAAGUCUAUUGUGUUUGAAAAUAAAUAAAAAUAAAAAAGUGUAACUGAAUAUAAGUAUUUUUUAUUAGUUAGAAAUGUUACAAUUAAUUAUUUUUUCCGUUCACUUAAACUUAUCAUCAAAAAUAGUAUUUUUUUUACAACAAAUCAACAUCAAUAUCAACGUCAGAUUAGUAUACUUGUACUCCUCGGCAAGAUCCGUGUAUGGCUAGCUGCUCUCGAUUAAUAGAUUAAUAGGUUAAGUCUCGCAUGCACCACGCAUGUGGGAUGUCCCGCGUACAAUAAUAAUACUACUACUAUACUUGUAUAUAUAAUUAGAGUAAGUAUUAUAGUGGGCUGUAAGCUGGCUAAAUGCUGAGGUGGAGGAGAGAAGGGAGGAGAGAGAGGAGAAGCAAGCUGUAACCUUACAGCCAGCUUAGGCACAGGAAUCAAGAAACUUUGUGAGAGAGACAAGUGGGUCAUAUAUUAAUAGUGAAUAGCUCAUUAUUGUAUGAGUGGGCUGUAAGAAGGCUGUAAAAAACCUUACAGCCAGCAAGUAGACUGUAUUAUUAAACUUGCUCUUAUAAGUGGUAUAGGAUCCUCAAGUGUGCACCUACGUUUGCCACAUUGGGUAGUGUUGGUUGCAACUUGGGCCUAUAUGUACACUGCUCAUCUGAUACGCGCACUGUUGCCUGGUGGCUGGUGCCGUACAAUCCAAGAAGCAGAAGCGGGUGGUUGUAGCUUGGAUUGAAAGCGUCGGCCGUGCCGUGCAUAAGCAAGCAAGUGUAUGAUGCAGCAGCAUGGGCUACGUACCUGUGGGGAUACCUGUGCUGUAUCGCGCGACGACUAGGUCGUUCCUUUUUUUUAAAAAAAAAUAAUGAAUUCUUAACACAAAUCAUAUCAGCAUAUGUAACAAGCAGCGCAUACGCAGAGCAUUUCCAAAUCAAACAAGAAUAUUAGCAUAAUAAAUAAUCUCACUACUGGCCGGGCUAAAUAUAUAUACACAGCUGGCUUACAAAUGUGCACACACGUUACAUGUACCCUCAAAGUACCAGCAGGUCCUUUUCGUUACGAAUCUAGCUAGCUAGAUAGCGUGUGAAAUCAAAACAAGCCGGGCGUUUUGUUGUGGAUCUGGGAUUGAAUUAUUAAUACGCGUAGUUUGAAUGGAGAAGUUAGCUAGCUAGCUAGGGUAGCUAAUGAAGGUGUGGGGAAGGAAUCCCGGUCGUACAGUGAGAGAGCUAUGGAACGAAUUCGCGACGCAAACAUGCAUCCGCAUAAAAACGAAAGGGUGAUGGCGGCACUAACAUGGCGCGCAUGUGCUUUGCGGCCACAUGCAUCCGAACACCCGAAUGAGAGGGUAUACACACACGGUCCCGGCCGGCGAUCGAUUUAGGCCUUGUUUAGUGCACCUAAAAACAAAAAAGUUUUUCAAGAUUUUCCGUCACAUCGAAUCUUGCGGCACAUGCAUAAAGUAUUAAAUAUAGACGAAAAUAAAAACUAAUUACACAGUUUUUCUACAAAUCGCGACACAAAUUUUUUAAUCUCAGUUAGUCUAUAAUUAGAUAAUAUUUGUCAUAAAUUUUUUAAUAUUUGUCACAAAUAACGAUCGCGGUGCCGACACUGUCAAUCUCAUGAGACGGAACGUGUCGGAACACACAGAAUUACUGCCGCCGCGCCGUCAUUUUCUAGGCUUCUUCUUCCCAGUUAAAGUUAGUAAUUACUGCAAGCACGCGUGCCGCCUCCGAUCCGGUAGGAGUACAAUCGUACGUUGGGUGGGGUGCAAAAGAUCGAUGGAGCACACACACGUCGUAACUGCUUCAACUGCUCACCACCACAUCUGGGAAUUGGAACAAGUACAGAAACAGCUGCGUGCAAGGCCGCCGUGCCAGCCGAUCCGGGAAGCUUCAACUCCAGCGCCAGAUUUAGCAAAGAUCAGGCACACAUCUCGCUCGGUCACCAACCCGGUGGCGGCCUGGCGGUUGGUUAGACGAGGAAUGGAGGCUGAAGCAAGCAAUGCAAGCUUGCAGUAGCCUUAGCCAUAGCUAGCGCGACUGUACUGCACGAUGGCUGAGCUACUGGGAUCAGCUUUUGCCUCUUGGAGCAGUAGUACCCUACAGGCGCCAUGCGGCAUUGCAGGUUGGCGCUUUGCCGAGACGGGGCACUGGGCCACUGGGGUAGGCACCAGGCAGGCAGGCACCACCGGCUCACCGCACCGGCAGGCGGCAGGCGGCAGGCGAGUGUAUGGUCACAGAUCUGCCGCGCGCACACUGCUGCUUCUGCUUGCACUAGCGCACCGGCCGAUCUUGUUCCGUCACUAGCGCACCCUCGCACAAUAACUCCCAUCAACGCCCAAUGGCGUCACGUUGCGUUCCUCAUUUACUCCCUCCUACCACACUUGCCAACUCCGCCUUCUGAGCGGGCCCCACCUCUCACACAGUCACACACACUCUAGUGUGUGCUACCUCUUCUCGCUCCUCUUUCUUCCUAUAUAUAUACACUUUCAUGGACUAAACUCGCCAGGAGCUUCAGCGCUAGCUCGAUCAGCAGCCACUGGCCGGUAGCUAGCUACCAGAGAGCACCCGAAGCUUAAGCUAGCUAGCAAUGGCUGCGGCGGCGACUCCUCCUGGUGGUCGUCCUAGCAGCAGCAGCAUUUCACGGCGCGCCGCCGCCGUGGUGCCGGCCUUGCUGCUGCUGGCGGCGGCGAUGGCCGCCUCCGCCGCCGACGCGCAGCCUUCCCCGGGGUACUACCCGAGCUCCAGGUUCAGGCCGGUGCCGUUCAACCGCGCCUACAACAACAAGUGGGGCCCGCAGCACCAGACGCUCUCCGGCGACCAUUCCGCCCUCACCAUCUGGCUCGACAGGACCUGCGGUAUGUUUAGUUUGUUUAUUAUUGCAGAAAUUUUACUGAAUUAACUACUGAUUAAUUCCCCACGAUACUCCGUAGCUAUAAUAAAACAAACAAAGAAAAUAAAAAUUCUUGCAUUUGUUUUGCUACAAGUGUCCCGAUCGAUGUCGCUGUAGCUGACUACUACCUGCGGCCGAGCCCAACUGCUCCAUGCAUGUGAUCGAUAUGGCCCAUUCUCCACGUAUUCGGACCUACCUUGCACUGUUUGUUUGUCGGUCUCGCUGCUUGCUGCCGUGCAUUAUUGUGAUAUAAGAGAGCGAGCGCUGGUCUUUUUCAACUGUUUGUUUCCACUAAAUAGCUCUCUGAUCUGAUCAUUUUUGCGAAUAAAUAAUGCGUGUGUGCAGGUAGUGGUUUCAAGUCGAAGCACGCGUACAGGAACGGCUACUUCUCCACUCGCAUCAAGCUCCCCGCCGGCUACACCGCCGGCACCAACACCGCCUUCUACGUAAGCACCACCACAUGCUGCUGACCGAUCGACCUGACUGACAAGCUUUAAUUUGGUGCUUGCAUUAUUUGUGCUAACACACACAUUCCACAUAUCUCGCAGCUGUCCAACAACGAGGCGCACCCCGGUUUCCACGACGAGAUCGACAUGGAGUUCCUGGGCACGAUCCCAGGCGAGCCCUACACGCUGCAGACGAACGUGUACGUGCGCGGCAGCGGCGACGGCCGCAUCGUGGGUCGCGAGAUGCGGUUCCACCUCUGGUUCGACCCCACCGCGGCCUACCACACGUACGCCAUCCUGUGGAACCCCGACGCCAUCACUUUCUUCGUCGACGACGUCCCCGUCCGCCGCUACGAGCGCCGCACCGAGCUCACCUUCCCGGACAGACCCAUGUGGGUGUACGGCUCCAUCUGGGACGCCUCCGACUGGGCCACCGACGACGGCCGCCACCGCGCCGACUACCGCUACCAGCCCUUCGUCGCGCGCCUCGACCGCUUCGUCGUCGCCGGGUGCUCUGUCUCCGCGCCCCCGGCGUGCAGGCCCGUGCCGGCGUCGCCGGCGGGGGCUGGGCUCACGGCGCAGCAGUACGCGGCGAUGCGGUGGGCGCAGCGGGACCACAUGGUUUACUACUACUGCAACGAUUUCCGCAGGGACCAUUCGCUCACGCCCGAGUGCUAGCCGCCCGGGUUGCUGUUGCUGCGCGGCGUGCCGCCCGCUUGAUUAAUUGGUGCUUUGUGUUUUGUUGUUUAUUUGUUAGUACUACUGCUACAGUGCUAGUACUACUAUUAUGGUGCAGGGGGGUGUGUGUGCAGUGGCUGCCCUACCACCGCCGCGGGGCGCUCUGUUUGUGAUGAGGCGCCGGCGGAGGCCGGUGGUUGUGGCGUGGGUCGUUGGCGUAUCGCCAACAAAGUGGUGUGUCGCCGUGUGCGUCUACGUACGUACGUACUUUUCUUGCCAUUGUUGCUUUGCAUUUGGUCUCGUCGCGUGCAUGCAUCACAUGCGAGGCGCCCCAAAGGGGCAAGCGUCCAUGAUUCAUGGCAUCAUAUGCAUGCCCACUGUAAUACGGAUAUACUACUAUGUAUACUUCAUAUAUAUUAUAUAUAUAUAUAUAUAUAUAUAUAUUUAAUACAUGUUUUCUGUCGGUGAGGAUUUAUAUGUGAUUGUUGUUGUCAUGCAAUUUUUUUUUACCUUUUACACAAUCGAUUUGUUGCUGUUGCUGCUGCUUUGAUGGCGGUCGGUGGUGGUGAGUACGAACACUUUACAUUGCUGGAGCUGUCUUGUUUAGUUCGUAAAAGUUUUUGUUUUUGUAGCAUUUCGUUUUUAUUUGACAAAUAUUGUCCAAUCACGGACUAACUAGGUUUAAAAGAUUCAUCUCACAAAUUACAGGUAAACUUUACAGUUAGUUUUUAUUUUUAUCUAUAUUUAAUGCUCCAUACAUGCGAUCAAAGAUUCGAUGUGACAGAGAAUCUUGAAAAUUUUUGCGAACUAAACAAGUCCUGAUUUUCUCAGGCUGUGUACUAUUGUCAACAUCACCGUGGACCAGGGGAAAAAUAAUAAAAAGGGCUGCAUUUACGUGCAGACAUUGACCAUAGCAGUGUCCAGUGGGCCGGGCCUGCCGCUUGCCGCAUGGCGAACGCCAGUGCGGCAGUGCCACUCGGGUUGAUGUAGGGCCUCCAGGGCUGUCAUAGUGUCAUGAUGCAGCCAUGACGUCAUAAGAGAAGACAGCUGUUUGGGCUGAAUACAGAAGAGUAACGACUGUACUUGGGCUCUUUGGGCUGAAUAUAGGAAAACAGAUGUCAAUGGGCUUUUACAUCUCAGCUUUCUUCGGGCCAUGCGCUACACUAGGCCUAAACUGGACCUUUACCUUUUCCAUCACAAGCGAUUUGGCCUGAGAGCCUUCCAAAAUAGGAAAAAGUCUCUCACGAUAAUCUGAUUUUUGUCCCUCAAGUUCAAAACUGGACAAACCACCUCCCUCAACUUCUUAAACAUGCAUUUUAUUUUCUUGGAGUGGUUUCAAAGGCGGUUUGUUACAAUAAAUAGUGGUUUUGCUACACUGACGGUGGUUUUGUCUUUUUCCUUUUUAAUUAUUUCGGCUGAAUUUUUUUAAAAAUCAUAAUCAUAAAAUGGAAAAUUAGAUUUUCCAUUUUAUGAUUUUCCUGUGAUUUACUAUGUUUUUUAAAGAUUCAGGCGAAAUAAUUAAAAAAGAAAAAGACAAAACCACCGGCACUGUAGCAAAACCGGCUUCGAAACCGCUCUAGGGAGGUAAAAUACACGGUUUGAAAAGUUGAGGGAGGUGGUUUGCCUGAUUUUGGAGUUAAUAGAAGAAAAUCGGCAAGAAAAGUAGACUUCUUCUCAAAAUAAAAAGUUGUGAUUUCGCAUUUCCAAACAAAGAAACUCCCUCUUUAAGUCUCUCUUAAUUUUCAGCAUAUGCCAAACACGGGAUUGGUAGUAUAAAUCAAACUCCCACAUCAAAUUCCCUCCGCUAAUUCCCGCCUCCAAUUACCAUACCCUUUCUCUGAACUUGCCAAACACUCCUUCUUUAAGUCUCUCUUAAAUUUGGCUUGAAGUAUGUUGCUGAAAAUAGGGUCUCAACAUUUGAGAGUGAAAAUUUGUGAUAACACUAUAAUCAAUUUCUAUUGCCAUCAGAGAUCUCCUUUGGAUUUAAAAUUGCAUAUAUGAAAGCUUUUUACGUGUGUUCUUCGGUUGAUCCUUACUAUUGUAUAACUUCGCUUUAAGUGCCAACGUUUUUAUUGCAAUUGUGAUACAAAUAGUCUGUGGCGCUAAUUUAUGGUUCCUCGAUCUCCAUGCAACCAAAGCAUAUGAGAACGAUGGUGACAUCAUUGUUCACAUUGAGCGCACCCUCAAUUCUCCAACCCCAAUCCCGAACGAAUAAAUAAUUGCAAAUGGAUUUGAUCUGCUAUUCCUGUAUUUAGCUCCUGUUUGUUUUUUUAAAUGAUUCUGAAAGUAAAUUUGUAUUUUAGUGCUGCAGAAAAAGGUUUAAUUGCAAGCAACACUGAAAGUAUAAAUUUGAUCUCCAUAUGUUGCACACUUGCUACCCACCCUACCACCGUACUUUGUCCCGCGAAAUUAUUUCUUCCCUAUCGUUUAUUAAUUCCUUAUGUUUCUUCCUACAACAGGUCACAACAACCAGCAAGAUGCAUGCUUCCAGUGUUAUAUUAUAUCGUAGCUUCAGUUACAUGUAACCUACUAUAGUUGUGUAAUGUCACCGACCAUGGAACUAUUUACUUAACUGCUUCGUUUAUUUUUUUUAAAGAACUACUUACAGAACUUCAGAUGUGAAAUACGAUAUCCAGCAUAUUUUCUUUGUCUUCAUGAUCCUUCCUGUGCCUGCCUAUGCGCGUUUUGAAGGGGGGGGGGGGGGGGGGGGGGGGGGGGGUUGGAGUUGUUCGUUGCCUAGAUAGCGUCGUUUGAGUUGUGGCAAUCAAGUGGUACAAAGUCACUCUCGUCAAUCUUGUGUCAUUGAUUGCCCAUAUAGUGUCGCUUGAGCUGUGGCAACAAGAAGGUGUCACUAAACUUGUGCAGUGUAGCAUUCGUCUUUAAGUUGCAUUCCCUUUAAUUGUGGUGAGAAGAUGGAACCAAAGUUGUGCUUAUAUUCAGUGGACGGAUGUUUGCGACUUCAGUUCGGCUCGUGACCAGCCGACACAACGCCAUAGUUCUAUACAUAUACCAAUGUAAAGUCCUAUACUUCCCACCCUAGGCUUUGUCGUCGUUGAAUCCGCGUCAUGGCAACUUGUAUUGGUACAUCAAAACCUUAAUUGCGUUGUCGUUUCAGCAUGUGUUGAGAUGUCUAAUUAUUAUUUUGUUCGCGUUGCAAUAGACGUACAUGAUUUUAGUAACUUAUAAUUUGAUAGGUAGUAAAUCAAUUGCUCCACCUCGGAGUCCAAUAUUAUUCGUUUGUUCCAUGUAACAUAGAUUCACAUUUUGCUCCUCGUCAUCUUCUCGGGGAGUUGCUUCUUCAAGAAGUGACAUUAUGUUUGACAAAAUACGACAAAGAACUUUUGUGUAUUAUUUAAGUGUUCGCUACUGAAAACUAUGAUUGAAAAUAAUAUUCGCUAAUUUUUGUGAAAGAAAAAUACUGUUAGCUGAUAGAAAAAGUACGAAUCACCAAGAACUGCAGAUUUUGGCUUGCCGAAACUCACAACGCGAUAGAAUCCCUAAUCACAGACGGGCCUCAACUCCAUCAUAAACGGCAAUUUCACGCAUCUGUGUUGAUGUGUCUAUGAUUUGAUCACUCAUAAACGAUGCUACAACUCGCAAAAAUUAUUGGAGCAUUAACGAUGCUAACAAUAAUUAUUGGAGCAGGAACAGUCACAUCAUUCCUCCCCUACCCCGCUAGAAGCAAAGUUGUCCUCCUCGUCUUUGGAGGAAUUUCAGCAAGCCUAUUCUUCUUUUACACUGGGGUAAAAAAAAAAGAAGGAAAAAGAAAAACCACUCUGCCUGCUACGCCUCACCAUCAGCAGGCCUAGCAGACGGUUCUCCUCCUGAUUCACGUGCGCGUGCUGAUGGGGGCCCAUGUGGCCAGGGUAUGCAGGUGGCUGCUGUGCUCGUGGGCCGUUGGCCGUGGUCCACGCGUUGGUGUGCUGGCGACUCCAAGGUGCGAGUCGUGGAGAGGUAUGAGCUGCUAGAGUUUCUCAAAGGAUAAGUGGCUGCUGCUGUACCCGUACAUCGUGGACCAUACUAGCAUAGUAUGCAGGGUGGUGACUGUUGACUUGUUGAGCUCGCGACGUUUCUUAUCCGAAUUCUGACUUUCUGAGAACUAGGUUGCAGCGCUGGCCUGGGUCGGACCAAUUGUGCUGCCCACUUGCACGAGGUUUGCCCUCCUCAUUCAAUCACCUCAGUGUACACAGUCCUCCAUGGCUGAAGCAGCAGCCAUGCGAGCUGUGCUCGAGGCGCCCGGCGUUAAGGGCCUGGAGGUGCUCCGCCUCCCGUACGACGAAGCUACUACUACUAACGAGAAGGACGCCGUCACUGCUCUUAUCCGCCGCAUUGUCGUCACGGCCAGCGAUCCUCCGGUGACGAGCGCGUUCAGCGUGCUAAACCUCAGCAAGGUGGCGGAGCUGUUCUCGGCGUGGCGGCGUGGGCUCGAGGGUGUCCCGCCGUACUACGCCGUCAAGUGCAACCCCAACCCGGCGCUGCUCGGAGCGCUGGCCGCUCUCGGCGCCGGCUUCGACUGCGCCAGCCCCGCCGAGAUGGACGCCGUGCUCGCGCUGGGCGUCCCCGCCGACCGCAUCAUCUACGCGAACCCGUGCAAGCCCGAGUCGCACAUCCAGCACGCCGCGAGCGUCGGCGUUGACCUCACCACCUUCGACUCGGUGGAGGAGGUGGACAAGCUGAGGCGCUUCCACCCCAGGUGCAGGCUCCUGCUCCGUCUCAAGGUCCCCGACGCCGCCGGAGGCGCCCUGCUGGACCUGGGCACCAAGUACGGCGCGCGGCAGGAGGAGGUGGCGCCGCUCCUGCGCGCCGCGCAGAGCGCGGGCCUGGCGGUCUCGGGCGUCGCGUUCCACGUCGGGAGCGCCGUGUCCCGCGUGGGCGUCUACGACGCGGCCGUGGAGGCGGCCCGCGCGGUGUUCGACGCCGCCGCCGCCACGCGCGGCAUGCCACCCAUGCGCGUCCUGGACAUCGGCGGGGGGUUCACGGCCGCCGCCACGUUCCAGGACGCAUGCGACGUGAUAAACUCCGCGCUGGCGCGCCACUUCGGGGACGACCUCCUCCCGGGCCUCCAGGUGAUUGGCGAGCCGGGGCGUUACUUCGCCGAGACGCCGUUCACGCUCGCCGCGCGCGUUUUCGGGAAGCGCACGCGUGGCGAGGUGCGCGAGUACUGGAUCGACGACGGCUUGUUCGGCACGCUGUGCUGCGUCCACAUGGAGAACUACGUGCCGCGCCCGGUGCCAGUGUUGCGUCGUCGCGCUGCCGGCGACGAUGACGACGAAGGCGAUGAGAGUGAGACACACCCGUCGACGGUGUUCGGUCCCACGCUCGACUCGUUCGACGUUGUGGUGAAGGGUUACCAUCUGCCAGAGCUGCGCAUCGGGGACUGGCUGGUGUUCCACGACGUUGGCGCCUACACCACCGCGCUGAGCUGUGACUUCAAUGGCUUCUCCACGUCCGACAUGAAGACCUACCUCGCCUUCUCCUCUGUCUAGAUUUCAAUCUACUAGUACCCUUGUUUAGGAACAAAAUUCUAUGCGCAUUACAACUUUUCGGGCUGGUUUGGAUUUAACCAUUCCCUUUAUGGCUUGGAGGGGAUUGUGUGAGAAUUUGCCCUCCAGUCCCCAGGUAAAAUGAUUCGCUCGGGCUGUUUAGUUUCCCAAAAAAUUUGUAAAGUUUUCAAGAUUCUUCGGAACAUCAAAUCUUACUGCACAUGCAUAAAAUAUUAAAUAUAGAUAAAAAAAUAAUUUAGCUAAAGUUAGGAAAUCUUAAAAAACGGUGAAAAUAUUUUGGUUUGUUUUUAGUGUUUUCAAGUCAUAUUCUAAAAUGAAAAUUUUUUGGAUGUGACAAGACGCCAGAAUCCACAAUGUCUUUCAUGUCGGCAAACUCAAGGAACACUGGGAAAUUCCUUCAACAACAACACUUCCCGUACCAAUGAUCGAUGACGGAAUAGUCAUCCCAUAACCUGAACUCAUGCUCCGAAACUACGUGAUCGCCUGAUCGGUGGCAGACUACAGGUACUCAUCAUAUGGAAAAACUAGCCCUCAAGUGAAUCAUUUUGGGAGGAUGCGUAGACAUUCCAAAAGCUCAACCCCAAAUUCCAGCUCAAGGACGAGGUCAUUCUCUAGGCAGUGGGAGAUGGCAUACCCAACAGGAGGACUACCAGAAGUAUCACCGUCAAGGUGGCUACGGAAGUGAUUUAGAAAGGGAUAAAGUCCUUAAUUGUAAUAAGAUUAGGUUAAAUUAGUCAAAUAGGGCCCAUGGGCCUAAGCCCAUUAACAUGUAAGCCCCAUAUAUAUAUGAGGGGUAAAUAAGGAAAUGGAAAAGCUAGUCGUGGGGUUAAACCUAUUUCUCCUCUUCUUGCUGUCCCCGCUGUUGUUGCCUCCUUGCUUGGUGCGCCGCCGCCGCCGCCGAGCCUCUAGCCGUGUCACACCGCCAGUCACCAGGGCCGCCGCACCGUGAGCCACGCCUCACGCCACCCCCUCAGCACGCCAGUGCCAGCCCUAGCCGCGGCCCUGGCCUGCCGCCCCUUCCCGUGCAAAUCUCCUCUCCUUCUCCAAACCAGACCUAAAUCCGCUCCCUGUCGGCUGUCGCCCUUACUGCUAGGAAGGAUUUUGGACCGUGACAUUUCUGCUUUCAACUUGGCGAGAACCACUGCCAUCGAAGAAACGCCUCUCUGCAUUGAUCCUCGACAUUGAUUUGCUCUCUCUGGUUUGUCCUCUUGGCCUCAGUAACCCCUUUUUUUCUUCUUUGGCAUCUAUUUUCACAAUCCUCUUUCUCAUGCCCCACCUUUUUUCCUCUGUUUGGUGGCUCCAUUGUCAGAUCUAUUGCCAUGUGAACCGUCUUCAUGACUGCUCGGGGCGCCUAAGUGGUCUAUCGUCGUAGGCUUCUGUUGAAGCUCACUAGAUCUUGACCGCUACCUACCCUCAAUUCAGCCCAAAGACUCGAUCACUUGAGGUCCUCAUACUAGGAGGGAGGCGUGUGAAAAGAAAACACAUAUUGAUACGGUAUGCUUUAAAUUUUCUUUCCUUUUUUUUAUUUUCUGAGCAACCUUUCUCUUUUUUUUUCCUAUUUGAUGCGAUGUGAUCAAAUCCUUCUCUCGUCUUGUUAGUAGACUCUCGUUAUCGUAUCCUUCCUUAUAAACUUCAUUUGAUAACUUCUGCUUUAAUAAACUACUACUUUGUUGUCACUUUCAUUCCAUAAUUUCUCUAACCCUGAGGUGAGUUGUUGAGACAAAUAGACCCCUUUGGAGGAAAUUAGUGUGCCUAAUUCUAAAAAUCAUGGGGAUAUAGUUUAAGGUUUAUUUGGUUGAGCUCCGUUAGCUCAAGCUUCGGCCGCUAUUAUAGUUGGCUUCUUUGGUGGGCUUGUCACGACUUUAACUUAUACACUUUAGGCUUUCUCCAAUAGGAGACCCAUUAGGAGACUCAAACCCAAAAUGGGUCUCCAACACAAUAUCUAUAGCCUCUAACAGAGUACCUAUAUCGAAGACUCAUUUAGGGUGUUGGGAGAGGCAUAACCUAGAUAUGAGUAUCUUCUCUCCUUAAGACCUAUUUGCAGAAAAAAUUCUCUUUUGUGUCUUGUUGUUGGACAAGACUAAAAAUGAGUACAUAACCUUUUGCUUAUAACGCUAGCCAAACUUCAAAUGGAUUUUGUAUUUUAGGUAAGAGCAGGUACAAUAAUGGGCUUAUAGCCAAGCUAAUGCUGAUGUGGAGGAGAGAAGAGAAGAGAGAUAUGAUAACUUGGCUCUUAUGCAAGCACCAAGCUAGGCACGGUGUUGUGAGAAGGAAUAGAAAAGAGAAUGUGCUUUAGAGAUAAGUAGGAGAUAACUUAUUGUAUAACUUGGCUCUAUUAUUGACCUAGCUAGGGUUGUUAGAGACGGUCUUUGUACACUGUAUCACUAUUGUAGGAGAAGUCAAUGAAGCCCCUCUAGGCUGGCUUCGCUGCCUUCUUCUACUUGCAAAUUUAUUUUGGUCUUGAGAGAGGAAAAUAGCUUAUGCAAAAGCCAAAAGCUAAAAUACAAAGGCAAACUUCAUUUUGAGCUUCACUGUUUUCUUCUACUCUAUAUUAUUUUGUUUUGAUUUUUUUGGUAUAUCUAUUUUACUAUGUAUGUAGACAUGUGUUAUAUCUAAAUAUAUAGUAAAGUGGAUCGAUCAAAGAAGUCGAAGUGACUUAUAAUUUAGAAUCAAGAAGUACUUGUUAGCACUAGUGGUAUUAUUUAUUUAUUUAUAAAAUAAAAAUACUACUACUUUUUAAGAUAUAAAUAUUUCUACGUAAUAAUGACAAUCGUCUGGCUUCAUAAAAUUUCAGCCUUUCAAGCUUCCACCACUGGUGUAGCAGAAACCGGAGGUUUUCAUCUUGUGAAAGUGACGCUGCAGUGAUUUGCAGAGGGAGACGGAGCUGGCCGCUGGCGCCUUGGGAGUUGGGACUUGGGACGCGAUGGUAGGCCGAUGCCGUUGCCCGCCGCCGCCGCCGCCGCCCGGGCUUCGCCGUGUCACACGGUCCCAGAGCCGGGUGGACCGCAUCAGCGCACUCCCGGACGACCUCCUCCUCCAGGUCCUCACCCGCCUCCGCUGCGCCCGCACCGCCGCGCGCACUUCCCUUCUCGCCCGCCGGUGGCGCAAAGUCUGGCCGGGCCUCCUGGAGGUCUCCUUUCGCGGGCUCGCGCCCGACGCGAUCCACGCGGCGCUCGCUCGGUUCACCCGAACUUUGUUGACGGCCAUCGACAUCCACGUCUCCAUGGGCACGGGACAUGGCGCGCUAGACGCCGGCAGCGUCACCGACUUGCUCCACGCCUCCGCGGAUCGGUCGCCGGUGAAGUUCGCCCUCACCAUCCCGGUCGACCUCCGCCGCUUCGAUUUCACCACAUGGGUCGAACUGCCGCGCUUCGAUUUCGCUACAUCGAUCGAGCUGGACGUGCAGAACGUUCACUUUGCCCUGUCGGCGGCGACGGAGUUCCCGGCGCUGGAGACGCUGUCCCUCGCCGGCUGCAUCAUGGACAUGGCCACCUUGGUGCCCCGCUGCCCGCUCCUGCGCGCUCUCAGCGUCACCAGGACGCCGGACGAGGUGGACACGAUCACGGUGCACUCAGAGUCACUCCAAGAACUCGUCGUGAGCACGUUCCGGUCCACGUCCACCAUCGACAUUGUGGCCCCUGCGCUCAGGAAGCUGACGAUGGCCAUGGACAGGGGGAUAGACAACAGCUUGUCGGUGGUGGCACCAAUGGUGGAGGAGGUCACUUGGCGGUGCCUGUACUACUCCACGUAUAUUGGGAUAGGCAAAAUGUGGCGCGUCGGUUCCCUCAAAGUACGGGCGGUGGAGAAGAUGGAGCUCACCGACGACGCCGCCGCCGAGGAGGAGGGUAGCCAUCAGCCCCGUCGUGCCCAUGUCCUGUCGCUGGACAUACUUGACGUUCGUCUCAGGCUCUCGUGCUCAUUGAUUUCCUAGCUUGAUUCGUGGACUUUUUAAUUGGUUUCUAAAUUGUAUGCUGCCCGAUUGUUUUGUAGACCCCUUAUCCUUCACAGAGAGAUUUUGCAGAAGAAUUGGAGAAAAUCCCUGUUCCCACAUUCUCUGUCCUAGAGCUGAAGAUCGCAACACGGAGCCAUGUUCUUGGACCACUGCUGUUGAACCUGCUUCGGAUUUGCAAUGCAGUGCAAAGGCUUGACAUGGUUCUUGUGGAUACCCCGGUACAUAUCUACUCUUCUUUAAAUAUAUACGUCUAAAUGACUGUGCGUUUGCAGUGUAAUUAAUUUAUAUAUGGUACAUUUUGUUCUAGGUGCAAGUGACAGAGUCUUGCGACAAACGGUGUCCUUGUCAGGAGAAUAAUAGGAAGUGGAGAAAAAUAGGUGCAAGUGAAAGACUCUUGAUCGAUCUCACAGAAGUGCAGAUCAAAGGAUUCAAAGGCGAUGAUGAAGAAAUCCAUUUCCUCAAACUGCUCUUCAGAUGUGCACCGAUGCUUCAGACGAUGACUCUGAAAUUGUCUGACGGGGUCACUGAUGACUGGUACAAUAUAUUCCUCGACACCGUCCAGGAGUACCCUUAUGUGAACUCCAGUGUUUGUAUUGGUUGAUUAGGAUUAGCAUGAUUCAAGCUGCAGUAAGAAUCGUUGUCGUCAGUUGUUAACUUUUUAUUUAGAGACUAGUUGAAACCCAAACCUUGUGGUUUAUUGUUGCUAGCAAUAUAUGUACCUGCAGUAUCAUGCUUAGAGCAACUCCAACCAUUAUGCAAAUGGACUUGGCAUUUACCAAAAUGCAUAAAACUCCAAAAAAACCCCUCCAAUCGUUAUGCAUUUGGACUUUGCAUUUUACAUAGCUAUGCAUUUGGAGGGGGACACUUGGCAUAUAUGCCAAAGGAGUCCAGCUAUGCAAAUAGAGAUCAAGGGAUUCUCGGUUUCACCUCGCGGACUUUUUUCUUUCCUUCGCGCGGUUUCCCUUCGCGUCGCCACCACUUCGCGCGAUAGGAGAAGCAUCGCGCGUCCUCCUUCGCCAGCUUCGCGCGCGCGUUUGGACGAAGCAGCGCACAAUAGGACGACGCAGCGCGCGAUAGGACGAAUCUACGACGCCUUGCUCAUCAACGGCGGCCAGGUACGCCUUCUCCAUCAAACCUUGAAGCCCGCAACUGAUAACAACUGCGCAGCUCAGUACAUCGAACAAAGACCACAUGAAUUGGAUCAAGAUAUUCGGCUACGAAGUUCAAACCUUGGCGAUGCGCUGUGCUAGAUCCAUUCUCCGGUACCCUCGAUCCCAUGUUGGCUUCACGAAAUUCUACUGCUCGCGAGCUGCAACGGCUUGACUGAUGGCGGCGACCGGAAACUGAUGGGGAACAGGACCUGAUGGAGAUCGGUACUGGAGCCAAAGGGCGAACCUGUACGACGACGAACUGAUGGCCAACAGACGACGAACUGGUACGGUGAACGGGAACUAACGGAACGGGAGAUCGGUACUGCGUUCGGUACUGCGAACGGGAACGACGAACUGCGCAGCUCACGAUCGGUACUGCGCGGCUGUUUGGCGCUGGAAUUGGUGAACGGGAGACGACGGCGGGCUGUUUGGCGCGGGAUCUAUUGGCCGCGCGGGAAGGAGUGCCGCGAAACAAAAUUUCCGGAAAAAAAAGAUGAUGAACUUGGCAUUUUGCAUAACGGUUGGAGAUCACCCGAUUUUAGCCUUGCCAUUUUCAUUUGGGGGUUUACAAUUUGCUUAAAAUGCAUAACUUCAAAUACAUAAUGGUUGGAGAUGCUCUUAGAAACUUUUAUGCAGUUAAGUUAGUGUGUCUUCCAUGUUGUAUGGAUUUUUAUCAGGCGUUGGAAACUGCCAUUGCCAGAUCCCUACUUUGGUGCUGUGCGCAAAAUCUCAGAAUCUUUGAAUGAAUUCUGUAGUCCAUAUUGUAAGAGAACUGUGUUCCGGCGCAGCUUAACUUCACCACCGGCUCAACUUCAUCAGCACAACUUAGUUCUAUACAAGAUAUAUUGUCCGAUAUUGUAGUUCAAGAGGUUCUUUCAAAAUCAACGACUAGUUCACGAGUUAAAUCGGAUUUUACUCUUCCAAAUAUGUCCCAAAUUCAGCCUAUAAAGAUUUGAAUACCCUUGCGUCAUCGUACUUUCCUCCUGUUUCCUCUUUGUUUUACCUCUACUACAGCCUCCAUGAUUCAAAACCAGGUUAGACUUUAUUUGGAUGUUGUCAGAUUCAUCUCAAUCCAUCUAUAUUAAAGUGGAUUAAGGUGGAAUUUAGUUUAAAUUUUACUUUAAUCCACCUCAAUAUAUAUAAAUUGAUGUGAAUCUGACUACAUCCAAACAAGGCCUUACGCAGAAGUAAUGGACGAACAGAACUGUGACUUUCAGACGUCGUGGCGCCGAACCAAACGCCCAAAGCGACCAAAGACCAACGCACACGCACGUGUCGCUCGGCGCCGUCGCCGCCGUUCCGCGAGGCGACAGGCGUCGACCUCUCCCGCCUGCAUGGCUGCCACUUCGAUCGCCUCCCUCGCUUAUUGACUAACGACGCCCGCCUGCCUCAGCAGUCAGCACACUCGACCGCCAAAGAAUCUCGCCGCCAUGGCGUCCCAGCUUGCCGUCCUCCUCAUCCUGCUCCUGCCACUCGCCGGCGCGUCCACCGACGACGGGUUCAUCCGGCAGGUGACGGAUGGUCGUCGUUCCCGCGCUGGCGCGGGCGCCCUAGGGCUGCUCCCGGAGGCGCAGUUCGCGGCGUUCGUGAGGCGGCACGGGCGGCGGUACUCCGGGCCCGAGGAGUACGCGCGUCGGCUGCGCGUGUUCGCGGCCAACCUGGCCCGCGCGGCGGCGCACCAGGCGCUGGACCCGACCGCGCGCCACGGGGUCACGCCCUUCUCCGACCUCACGCGGGAGGAGUUCGAGGCCCGCCUCACGGGCGUGCGCGCCGGCGCCGGCGGGGACGUCCAGCGGCUCGUGAUGAGUGGCGCGCCGGCCGCCCCGCCGGCGUCGCAGGAGGAGGUGUCCCGGCUGCCCGCCAGCUUCGACUGGCGCGACAAGGGCGCCGUCACCGGCGUCAAGAUGCAGGGCGCGUGCGGGUCGUGCUGGGCGUUCAGCACGACGGGCGCCGUGGAGGGCGCCAACUUCCUCGCCACGGGGAAGCUCCUCGAGCUCAGCGAGCAGCAGCUGGUCGACUGCGACCACACGGUGCGUGCGAGCAUCUGAUUCUGAUCUCUGCCCUCUCUCGAUCGAUCUCUCUUCUCCGAAUGAAAUCGUCCAGUUCGAUGAAGGAUUAUUUACAGCAUGUCGCGAUCGCUUUGUACUCCCAUCCCAUGUUUCCAGUGCAGCGCGGUGGCGCAGAACGAGUGCAACAACGGCUGCGCCGGCGGGCUGAUGACGAACGCGUACGCGUACCUGAUGAAGUCCGGCGGGCUGAUGGAGCAGCGGGCGUACCCGUACACGGGCGCGCCGGGGCCGUGCCGCUUCGACCCGGCGAAGGCCGCCGUCCGCGUGGCCAACUUCACCGCGGUGCCGGCCGGCGACGAGGCCCAGAUCCGCGCGGCGCUGGUCCGGCGCGGUCCCCUCGCGGUGGGGCUCAACGCGGCGUUCAUGCAGACGUACGUGGGCGGGGUGUCGUGCCCGCUCCUCUGCCCGCGCGCGUGGGUCAACCACGGCGUGCUCCUCGUCGGCUACGGCGCGCGCGGCUUCGCGGCGCUGCGGCUGGGCUACCGCCCCUACUGGAUCAUCAAGAACUCGUGGGGAGAGCGGUGGGGGGAGCAAGGGUACUACCGCCUCUGCCGCGGCAGCAACGUAUGCGGCGUCGACAGCAUGGUCUCCGCCGUCGCCGUGGCGCCGGUGCCGUGAACCAACCCAAACCACCGGGGCCGGGCCGGUGGCCAGGGUGUAUUAGUGGAACGGUAGUUCCGGACGUGGCAUGGUAUUGUUGAUGCAGUAUAUAUGUACAAGCGAAUAACAACACUGAUACGUAUCCGUUUGGCGCAGCUUUGGCUCAACUUUCAUCGGCAUAGCUUAGCUCAACUUCAGGGGUGAAGCAGUUUUUUUUUUCCUUUCAACAAUCAACUUUACCAGUGAAGCUAAAGAUGUUUCAGUGAAACUAAAGAUGUUAUGAUGAAUCAUUUGGUAAAACAAUUCUAUAUAUCGAGUCUUUACAGUCCCUUGAAACAUGGUCCAAGCUGAUGGAUGUGUUAAAAGGAUAACCUUAACAUUCGGCAACAUAGACCAGAUCGUGUGUAUACAUAUGUGUUAUGACCAGAUGCGUUAGACUCGAUCAUGUGUUAACCCAUGAAUAGGAGUAGUCACGUAUGAAUAGGAGCACAUUGAUUAUUGUCCAUGUAAACAAUACUGCAUAAUCUUCAAGAGGUCUAUUUAUGUAUGGUGCCACGGAUGGGGCUUUUUCAUCCAUUGAGAAACACGCAUUCACCAAGGACCCAAGAUAGGGCCUGGUGCUUCCACCAUCUGCGCCUCUGAUUAUUCUUUACAUGGUAUUCAGAGCCUAAUCUCCACAAAAUCCAAUCCACCAAAUCUAGCGCCAUGUCUAGCUCAAAUUCAUCAACCAAUUUUUUCUCUAGCAUAGAUGUCUCAGAAAAAUUGGGAAAGGUGAAUCAUGCGCUGUGGAAAGCCGAAGUUCGUUCAGCCAUACGUGGCGCUCGUCUUCAGAGCUUUUUACCUAAAAGCCAUUAUAAAAGAUGGGUCAAACCUCUGUGCCCUUAAAAGUUCGUUCGCACCUGUGUGUCUAAUUUUAUCUUCGUCUAUACUCAUGCGCCAUUCCGUCUCCAUUCUGUCUGUUUUCUACCGUUUGCAGCUCUAACAUGUGGGACCAGACAGAGAAAAUGUCCAUCUUGCCCUCGCUUGCAUGGUUGAGAACCCGCACCGGCGCCGGCGUACAUAUGCAUGCAGAAGCCGCAGCCGUGCGUACGUAUGCAUGCAAUUUUUUUCUCCCUUUCUUUCGCAGAGUUCGGCGCACGUGCGUCCACGUAUGACUUUGCCAUCGUCUCGCCAGCAGGCAGCGCAGCGCCAAGAACGAGUGCCCCCUGUCUUGGCUGCGCCGCCCCUGCGGUUCGCUCGUACCUAACCCUUGCAGCUCGCCAUCGAACCGCAGCUACCACUCCAUCUGGUGGAGCAUCCCAUAGAUGUCGCGCGUCCUCGGGUGCGACAUGUCCUACGAGACGAACCGGUGCAGCUCGCCGCGUACCUCAACGGCGCUGAACCCGGGGAACUGCGCGAGGCCCCGGUCCACCGCCUCUGUCCGGUAUGCCGCCGCGUCGGGUGCGUGGCUCUCCCGGGCCAUCGCGUCGAACACUUGCAGCGCCUUCCGCCCGUCCCCGUGCAGCGCCAACCCAGAUAGCAUGGCGCUGUAUGCCCAUGCGUUCUAGUCCUUCAUCACGUCGAACGCCUGCAACUGACAAUGGAAACGAAGAAAUGUCACAUCCUUCCGAGCGGCAGCCGCGUCGACGGUUGCAGAAGAGCACACUCCUUGGUUGAGCGCGAGCUGAAGCUGUCACCUGCCUCCCUUCUUGAAAAGCCGCGAGCUGCGCGCACGCUUUGAGCACGAACACAGGAAUGUGUGGCUGUCCGGCCAGCCCGAAAGCGCGCACGCCGCGAGCAGCGGCCGUGCGUGCCGCGGGUAGCGGUCGAGGCCCAGCUUGAUGUGCCACGCGUGCGCCUUCCGAACGUCGUCCGAGCUCCGCGCCGAGACGGCCACCGGCGCCGGCGCCCUGCCACAUGGCUGCGCCUGGUCCCUCGGCGGCGCCGGUGCGGGUUCUCUGCUAGUAGCCAUGCAAGCGAGGGCAAGAUGGACAUUUUGCCUGCUUGGUCCCACAUGUCAGAGCUGUAAACGGUAGAAAACAAACAGAAUGGAGACGGAAAUGGCGUACGGGUAUAGGCGAAGAUGAAGUUGGACACACAGGUGCGAACGAACUUUUUAGGGACAUAGAGGUUCGACCCAUCUUUUAUAAUGGCUUUUAGGUAAAAAGCUCUCGUCUUCAAGGGCACAUCACCGGCGACACCAAGGCUCCCGAAGAAGAGCUCGUCGCCACCGUUGAAGGAAAAGUAGAAAAGAGGCCGAACCCGGCUUUUGAGGAGUGAGAAGCCAAGGACCAACAGGUCCUACGGUUUCUUCUAUCGUCGCUCACCAAGGAGGUGAAAAUCCAAGUCUCUACAUGUGAGACUGCAGUGGCUGUCUGGAAUGCCAUCGAGCAGAUGUAUGCGUCUCAAACGCGUGCAUGCACGGUGAACAUUCGCGUCGCCCUCGCCAACACCAAGAAGGGAAAUUACACCGCUGCCGAGUACUUCGCGAAGAUGAAGGCGCUCGACGACGAGAUGGCUGCAGCCGGACGACGGCUUGAUGAUGAAGAACUGGUAGAGUAUAUACUCACCGGACUAGGAGAAGACUACACUUCUCUAGUCACAACCCUAACUGCUAGGGUCGAGCCCAUCACAGUUGGGGAGUUGUACUCACAACUUCUUAACUUUGAGACUCGUAUGGACCUGAUCUAUGGAGGCAAUAGUCCAGGGUCUGGAUCCGCGAACGCCGCCAGUCGGGGACGUGGUGGUUUCGCAAGAGGAGGCCGCAACCAAAGAGGACAUGGCGGCCAGAACAAUCAGCGUGGCCGCGGGCGCGACAGUGCUUCGGCACGUGGUCGCGGCAACGUCAACAACGCGUCACAAAGGGGUGGCGGGCGCGGUGGCUACAACAACAACCACCACCGUGCACCGCCAUCUGAUGGCGAUGAACGCCCUCUAUGCCAAGUCUGCUUCAAGUCCGGGCACACAGUGGAUCGAUGCUGGCACAGGUAUAAUGAGAACUAUGUGUCAGAUCCGAAGCUAGUCGCAGCUGCAAUGAACUCCGACACCAUUGACAACAAUUGGUACACCGACAUCGGCGCCACCGAUCAUAUCACAGGUGAGCUGGAGAAGCUGUCUUUAAGAAACAAGUACAAUGGAGGAGAUCAGAUCCACACAGCAAGUGGUGCAGGUAUGAAUAUUAGUCAUAUUGGUCAUACUACUGUUCGUACCCCUAAUCGUGAUAUUCAUCUUAAAAAUGUUCUCUAUGUUCCCCAAGCAACAAAGAAUCUUGCUUCUGUUCAUAAAUUAGCUUCUGAUAAUUCUGCAUUUUUAGAAUUUCAUCCAAACUUCUUUUUGAUAAAGGAUCAGGCAACGAAGAAUACAAUUCUUAGAGGGAAAUGUCACAACGGGCUUUAUCCUCUUCCUUCAUUUCCAAUAAAACAAGCUUGUGGUGCCGCCAAGAUUCCCUUGUCAUGAUGGCAUUGUCGCUUAGGUCAUCCAUCUUCAACUACUGUUAAACAAGUUGUUAGUAGAAAUAAUUUGUCUUGCCUAGAUAAAUCAUCUAGUGAGUCGGUUUGUAAUGCAUGUCAGCAAGCUAAGAGUCAUCAGUUGCCUUAUUCGAGAUCUUCAAGUGUGUCUACUUUUCCUUUAGAACUUGUGUUCUCUGAUGUCUAGGGGUCUGCACCAGAGUCAGUUGGUAGAAAAAAAUACUAUGUGAGUUUUAUUGAUGAUUACAGUAAAUUCACUUGGAUCUAUCUUUUAAAGUACAAGUCUGAAGUUUUCCAUAAAUUUCAAGAAUUUCAGGCUCUUGUUGAGAGACUCUUUGAUCGAAAAAUUCUAGCAAUGCAAACCGACUGGGGAGGAGAGUAUCAAAAACUCAAUUCCUUCUUUGCCAAAAUAGGGAUCACCCAUCUAGUGUCAUGUCCCCAUGCACAUCAACAAAAUGGAGCGGCAGAGCGAAAACAUCGCCACAUUGUAGAAGUUGGCUUGUCCUUAUUAUCUCAUGCUUCUGUUCCACUAAAAUUUUGGGACGAAGCAUUUCUCACAGCCUCUUACUUGAUAAACCGUGUGCCAAGUCCUGUUAUCCAAAACUCCACUCCACUAGAACGCUUAUUCCAACAAAAAUCGGAUUACGACACACUUCGUGUUUUCGGGUGUGCUUGUUGGCCUAAUUUGUGCCCAUAUAAUUCUCACAAACUUGAAUAUAGAUCCAAACGUUGUGUUUUCCUAGGAUACAGUCACCUCCAUAAGGGAUUCAAGUGUCUUGAUAUAGCUUCUGGGCGUGUUUAUAUAUCUCGAGAUGUUGUGUUUGAUGAAGAAGUUUUUCCUUUUUCUGAACUUCACUCCAAUGCAGGCGCACGCCUUCGUUCUGAAAUCAAUCUCCUUCAUCCAACUUUGAUAAAUCCUGGGGGCGUACAUAUAGUUGAUCAAUUUGCUAAUACUACUAAUCCUAAUGGUUUAAUUGUUGAAGAAAAUUCAGGAACAAUUGACGCAGGGAAUACAACAAAUAUGCAGCCAUGCAGCGAUGCUGGACAUGAGGUAGAUAUGCUCCGGUCAAUAGGAACCGGAGGUUACUCCCAUGCAGAUCAGCAGGAAGCCCCGUGCAUCCCAACUCAUGCAGACCAACAACAACUCCCAUGCAAUGACUCGCAUGCAAGGGUCUCCACUCCUUGUGGUAGGAGCCAAGGGGAAGAGACCGAGUCCAUAGGUGGGGAGCAACAACCGCAAUUGUCUCCUCCGCCUUCUACACCUCCGCCAGUGUCUCCUAGACUGUCUCCGCCAGUCACAGAAGUUGCAGCAGGUACUGCAAGUCAAGAACCCCAAAUGCUAGCUCGACCAAGAACUCGGCUACAGAAUGGCAUCCGAAAAGAAAAGGCCAAAGUGGGCCAUAGUCAUCCCUGAAAAAUGCAAUUUUCACUAGUUAAACAGCAAAAAUGGUACUAGAGGAAUGGCCAUAGCCAUAUAUUAAACAGUAAAAAUGGAGUACUAUUCUUUGUUGCUUAAAUUCACAAUCUAUGAACGACCCUAUUUCUAUGGUUGAGCUCGACCACAGCUGCUGGCUGCUAGAGAGAAGGAGAAGAGAUAAAGGAGAAAGGAGAAGAGAUAUGGAUGAAAGAGAAGAGAAGAUACCAUGCUACACCGAUGAUGAUGACAUUUUGAAUUUUCGUCACUAGAAAUUUCCAUCUAAGUGAAUGUGAAAUGCGAAUUACUAGCCACAUAAAUUUUAGGUGUAGUUCCCAGCCACCCUUAAAAGUAGGACAGUGUUUGAAAACUGAUAUUCAGACAUGGCUCAUUUGUUGGGUCGUUGACUUCAACAACCAUGAUUGAGAAAAUAGAAGUGCCUCUACAAAUCAUUUCUAUAAUAGGAUAGUAUAUUUUUAUCUUAAUAAACACUAGUAGAAAUUUGACUAAUGACACUCAUAUAUCCACUUAUUUUCUUUGAGGAGAUUGCGAUCAGGAUAUCCGCUAUGUUUUCUUUAAGGAAAUGCCAAUCAAGAUAUCCACUAUAUUUUCUUCAAAGACACGGCGAUCAGGGCGUUUUUUGUCUUCUCUUGCUCAAGGUGCUUGGAAACGAGACAUGCAUAAUCAGCGAACAAUAAGUCAAGUAUGGUUUCUCCAAAAUGGCUUGCAAUCAAAGGCUCCAAUAGUGCUCUAACAAACUUAGAGACAUUCAUACCACUACGACCACUGUCAUGAACAUAAUUGUCUUCUGUAUCAUCGUAAGGAUCCCAAUUUUGCUCAAAUAAUUUGAUAUAGUCUAUUUUGAACAUGUGGCUUUCCUUGACUAUUUCCUUCACUUCACCAAUUGAUGGCCCAUAUAGCGGUAGAUUAAAAGCUUCUAGUUUUUCUUUCUCCACGAGGCCCUAUAUAUCACAAUCAAAAUCGUAGUUUAUUUAACAUCUUAAUAAGUAUUGUCAAAAAGAAGUUGAGCCAACAAAAAAUAGUAAAUCUAGUUUUAUACAUUCCACUCUUACUAACCUUUCCAACAAGAGAUUGUAGUGAUCUUGCAACUAAUCCAAAGAGUUUGUUGAGAUAUCCAUUGUAUACAUCCUCAUCCUUCCUCCCACAAAAUGUUAGAACCAUUUCCCCUCCAUAUAUAAGUUCUUUGUGGCGCAACUUCAAGAAGAGGGAGAAGUCCUUAUGGAAUUGCUCUUGGAAGCACUUCACCACACAUGAUGGUGUGGUCUUUGUGAUAUAAAUAUUAUCUUCAUUUAAGAAAGCUCCUUUCCGUGCAUAUAGUUCCUCAGGUACCUUUGAACAUGGUAUUUCAUAACAUCAUUUUGAAUUUGUCUAGAAUAAAUGAAUUGCAUGAAAAUUACAAUGGGCAAGUAUGAACACAUAUAUAACUUCUUGCAAUAACCAUUGAUAAUAAUACCUGAGAGAGCCAGUGAAGGCAGCAAGAGGAGUGAAAGAGAUGGACGCUUUGGCGAGGAAACAGUCUGCUGUAGUAUGAUUUUGGCAACCCAGAAAUGUAGCACAAUGGGGGUGUGUAUCCUGUUUGUUCACUUGUAUCUAGCUUCAAGUCUUUGAGAGAACUGAAUAGUUGGUUGAAGUCAUUACCUGGUAGGUCGUUUAGGAAGAUUUGAAGUUCCACAGGAUCACCAGGUUUAUUGUAUUGGCCAGCUAUGAUGUUUAUCACAUUGGAUAUAAAGAGCAAUGUGUUUGGUCCUGAAGAGCAUCCUAGGUCAGCAAUGACCAUGGUUCUGGGAACAAGAGUUGUGUAUACUUCUUUUAUGGCAUUCUCAAUGACUGGCAUGGUCUGCAAGAUAACCUUCUCCUAGUAGCAUGCAUGAGGGGAAAUAGUGGCUCUUACAUACUUAUUAGAUAUAUGUAAUUUAUUCUACAAACCCCUAUAUCAUAGAACAUGAUAAAGGUGUUUAAAAAAAUCAGACUACGGGGGAUAGCAUGACCCCCCGCCCCCAAGCAUUUCGCAUUAAGAUUAAGGCCUUGUUUAGAUGCACCUAAAAUUUCAAAAGUUUACAAGAUUCCCCGUCACAUCGAAUCUCUGGACGAAUGCAUGGAGCAUUAAAUAUAGAUAAAAAGAAAAACUAACUGCACAAUUUGUCUGUAAAUCGCGAAACGAAUCUUUUAAGCCUAGUUACUCUAUGAUUAGACAAUGUUUAUCAAAUAAAAAUAAAAAAUGCUACAGUGUCAAAAUCCAAAAAAAAUUUGAACCUAAACAAGGCCUAAGGUUGAGAACUCUUCGGUUACUUAGUCUGAGAAAACCCUCGAACCUCGUACCCCACCCGCACAUAACUAUAUUGUUAUAUGUACAGUAAAUAAAUAUGUGGAACAUGAUAAACAGAUUUGAUGAAAGGCAAACAAAACAACAAGAUGUCAAUUUUACUAGAUAUAGUACAUACAAAUGCAUACUGUAUAAUAAAAAUGUGUGCAUGCAUGUUAAAAAUGGAUAGAAUAGUUACUUGAGCCCUAGAAUUCUUUGCGUAGCUAUGUUCUCCUUCCCCUUGGGCCAUAUGAAAACUGUGUUCUAAAUUCUCCAUUACUACAAAUUUCUUGGUAUGUGAUUUCCUGAUUGUUCAAGAGAAACAAAGGAGCACAAUGAACCUGAAUAUGUUCUCGUGGGGCACAAUUUAUACUAGCCAUAUUGGAACACUUGGUACUACUACUAGUAUAUGGACCAGCUGUGUCCAACCAGUCGACCAAACUAUGGUGCAAUGACAAAUUGAUUGCUUGAUUGAUGUAACGAUGUAAGGCUCUGACUUCCACAAUAAAUUUAAAAAUUAGAAUAUAUGUUCUCUUGGUACAUGCAUCAUUGGAUCUAGAUGCACCACAAGUUUUAGCACGUGUUUCACGUGGCGGAUCCAUGUAUGCCAAUAUGUAACCGACAGUUUUGAGAGAAUGCGAGGAUAUUUUUCGUUAAGGCCUGGUUUAGUUCAAAAAAAUUUUAAGAUUUUUAUCACAUCGAAUCUUUAGAUAUAUCCAUAAAGUAUUAAAUAUAAAUAUAAAUAAAAACUAAUUACAUAGUUUACCUGUAAUUUGCGAUAUAAAUUUUUAAGUCUAGUUAGUUUGUGAUUGGACAAUAACUGUUAAAUACAAACAAAAUUGCUAUAAUAGCCAAAGCAAAAAAAAUUGCGAGUUAAACAAGGCCUACAUACAAGAAAGAGUUCGUACAUUACAACAAAUAAAGAGAAACAAUAGAAAGGAAAGCAACAGCUGGAAGAGACCUCAGAAACCGGACGAAUGAACCACGUUGAGUACUACACACAAUGGAGAAGCUGCAACACGCUGAAGCAAGCAAAGCAAAGGUUACGACCUAAAACUCUCUCUUACACUAGACAAAGGACUAACCCUAUAUCAAAGACAGGAAUUGACAUGUCAAAGGCUCUGGAACAACAUUUCAGAGAACUGGCAAUUUAAAAGAACCUACCUUCCCGGCCAUUUCUUCACUCAGCAAAGGCUCGCUCACUCCACUCUGGACAACUUCAUUGCCAAAAAAAAUACUGCAUUUGUCUUCAAGCUUUGGAAACUUCAUUGUCAAAGCUUGAAGACAAAGGCUUUUUUUUAAUUCUAAAAAAAGGCAGUUUUUUUUUCAAACUGAGCUCAUCUUUGAAGCUUACGCCGGACUAGGCAAUGAAGUUUCUGUCUCUGUUUCAGAAAUUUAAAUUUUGAUGGUUCAUUAAACGAACUAUAACGAAUGAUGUUUAUUUUUCAUGGAAUUUAUCAUGUGGUAAAAUAAAAACCGUCAUCACUGACGGAAUAAUUCUUAGGUCUGCAAUCUGUGAUAACGAGAACUUCUCGGUCUGAGAUGGCAUGUGUAAUCUUGUGGUGUGGUAUUCAUCCAGUCGUCAUCCGGUUCCUGGUUCCCAUCAACUUGAUAUACCAUGAGUGAACCAGGUAAAAUUAUUCUACUCCACUUUUGAUGGCUAGUUCCAAGAUACGUGGAUUAGAAUUCAUGAGAACUUUUAAAAUAAAUAUCAAAUUACUUAUAUAGUGAUUGAUGUUUCGGCUGAAUUAUUAUACUCCACUUAUAUAUAAAUCCUACUAGCAUUGAUCUCCAAAAAAGUUGCCAUAUGGUUCCAUUUGCUUGUCUUAUAAGCCGUACUUUUUUUGCCAGCCAACGGUGUUUUUCUCUCAUAAUAAAUCAGCGAACAGUACUCAAAUAUUGUAAACCAGGAGAAUACCCUGCGCAUUGUUGUGGGUUGUGUGGCAUGAUGGCAUGGACAAACAAAAUACUUAUGUGUCUUAUUGACAUGGACAUUAUAAAUGUAUGGAUUUUUAUUGUGCGUGAUUGUGCAUUGCUUAGUUGGACAAUUUACAUGUUAAGAGAAAUAUAAUGAAUUGCUAACGUGGACACUACAAUUGCAUGGGCUAGUAGAAUUUUAAUUGUAUGUGAUAGCGGGUUGUUUAGUUGGACAACUUACAUAUUGAGGUAGUAGUGUUUAGUUUUAUAGUAAUACUAGAAGAAUACCUCGUGCGUUACUGUAAGAAUGCAUAUUAGUGGAUUGUAUGACAUGAUGACGUAGAUAAGAAAAAUACUUGUGUAUCUUACUAACGUGGACAUUACAAUUAUAUAGCUAGUGGAUUUUUAUUGUGUGUGAUAGUGUAUUGCUUAAGUAUGUUGAGAGUAACUUGCUGACGUGGACACUACAAUUGCAUAGGCUAGUGGAUUUUUAAUUAUAUAUGAUAGUAAGUUGUUUAGUUGGACAACUUGCAUAUUGAGAGAAAUAAGUAGUAGAGUUUAGCUUAUAGGAAUAUAAGAUAAGAUAAAAUAUAAGAUCUGAUUAAAUUUAUAUAAAAAAAUAUCAAUAUUUAUGAUAUUAAAUAAGUACCAUACUGUUUAAUUUGUCAUGUAAUAUAAUUUAUAUUAUUAUACUAUAUGGUGUCAUAAUGUUUUGUUUUUCUCUAUAAUUCAUUUAAAUUUAUUUUGAUAGUAUGACUUUUUAUGGGAGCCAGUUUGUCUACUAACGGUGAACUAUCUUUCCUCUUACUGACAUCCCACUUGUGUCAAAUUUGUGGAGAGGGGGAUCUCCACAUGACAGCCAGCAACAAUUGUCCUCGCUCGUGCACACCUAGGAAGAACUUCAUCGUCGAUCUUCCAUUUCGAAAAAAUUACUCUAAGUCAAGCACGUUUAACCUCAAAGUUCUUUGGAGAUAGACUUCUGGGCAAAAAGUUGCAACUUGUUGGUAUGAAUAUUCUAUUAAUCCUAUUAAGCCCUGGGACAGGAUGUUACAUCCUCACUCUCUUAAGAGACUGACGUCCUCGUCGAUCAACCUCAAGCCAGGAACGUCUUCUCUUGGCCACGUCUGUGUGUCUAGUGCCAGCAUAUGUACCAUGUUGUGAGACCACUCUAGGUCCACACUAUGCCUGUGCAACUGCGACAUGUCCCGCCUCUUCGAGGCCAGGCUCGUUUACAUCUGUCAGCUUUUCUAGGAUUGUCCUCACAGACCAACACUAGUCUUUUCUGCACACUUUGUCUCUACUCGUGCGCACUCGAGAGGAACUAUUUGGUCGGUCACUUAUCACGAAAUUGCUUUAGACCAAGCACGCUUAAACUCAGAGUUCUUUGAAGAUAGACUUCUGAAAAAAAGUUACAACUUAUUAAAAGUAUCAUAUUGAUUCUAUGAAGACCUGGGCCAAGACGUUACAUUCCACCCCAAAUGAAGGCCUUGUUUAAUUAUUGGAGUGAAAAGUUUUUAGGUACUGUAGUACUUUUAUUUGUAUUUUGUCAAAUAUUAUCCAAUCAUGGACUAACUAGACUUAAAAGAUUUAUCUCGUAAAUUCCAGACAAAUUGUACAAUUAGUUAUCUUUUUAUCUAUAUUUAAUGCUCUAUAUAUGUGCCACAAAAUUUGAUGUGACUGAAAAAACUUGAAAAAAAAUAGCUUUUGAAUUGAACUAAACAAGGCAACAACGCUCAUGUGUUGGUCGCCGCCCGCACUCUCACCCUCAAAUCCCGUCUCAAAUCUUUUACCCACCAUCUCCAGAUCUCCUCCUCCAGCCCUCCACUGCUAGUCUGCGUCUUUCUCACGGUCACGGGAUACCGCCUCCCGCACUUGACUUGACGGAAGCAACAGCCUACAACCCAUUACAUGGAUAGACACACAGACCUCGCAUAGUCGCAUACGUCCAUUGGCCCCGUUUGACAUAGCUUCUACGGGCUCCAAUUUCUAUGACACAUUCAUUGUUUAUGCACUGUUUACAAGAGUUUUUUUUUCUCUCUCCUAUCUCUUCCUCUUACAAAGCUAGUGGAAACAGGUGAAGCCAAUUUUAUUAGCUUUGCCUGCUCUGUGAAAGGAGAAGAUAAGAAAGAGAAAAAAAGCUCAAAUGUAUGAAGUUGAAGCCGGUGAAAGGCUACGGUAGGGCGCCUGCCAAACUGGGCCGGUCCCCUUCUUGGAGGCAGAGGGACCCGCUUGUGUUGUGUACGUAUACCUACAAUAAUCUGCUGUAUGACGGUAUGAGUAUGAUAAGGGCACUCACAAUGCAGACUCUAUCAUAGAGUCUAAAGUUAUUUAUUACCUCGAACAAUGUGGACUUAGAGUCUUAUUUUUUCUACCUCUUUCUUCAAUAAAUAUGCUGCCACAUCAGCAAAAUAUCAUAAAUAAUAUGUAAUUAAGUGUCUUGGACUCUGUGAUAGAGUCUUGCAUUGUGAGUGCCCUAAGCGGUCUCCGAUUGUGUUAUUUCAUUUUAUUUUUAGUUUCUUUCGCCCUCCUUCGUGUAAGGCCUUGUUUAGAUUUUUUUUAUUUUGAUACUGUUGCACUUUUGUUUGUAUUUAGCAAUUAUUAUCUAAAUAUAGACUAAGUAGACUUAAAAGAUUUGUCUCGUAAAUUAGGGCACUCACAAUGCAGACUCUAUUAUAGAGUCUAAAGUCAUUUAUUACCUCGAACAAUGUGGACUUAGAGUCUAAAUAAGACUUAGAGUCUUAUUUUUUCUACCUCUUUCUUCAAUAAAUAUGAUGCCACAUCAGCAAAAUAUCAUAAAUAAUAUAUAAUUAAUUGUCUUAGACUCUGUGAUAGAGUCUUGUAUUGUGAGUGCCCUUAUAACUAAACUGUACAAUUAGUUAUUUUUUUAUCUAUAUUUAAUGCUUCAUACAUGUAUCAUAAGAUUUGAUGUAACAAAAAAUCUUGAAAAGAUUUUGGAUUUUGGAUCGAACUAAACAAAGCCUGGUUCCACCGAGGCGGACAACACGCAUGGGUUGGUCGCCGCCCGAUUCCGGCCCCUAUGUGAUGGUCGCCGCCUGAUUCUAGACCCCAAAUCCAUCUCAAAUCUUUUACCCACCAUCUCCAGAUAUCCUCCUCUAGGCCUCCAUUGCUGGUCUGUGUCUUCCUCACGGUCACGGGAUAUCGUAACCCGCACUUGACGGACGCAACAGCAUGCAACCCAUUACACAGAUAUUGACCCAACCUAUUACACGGACAGACACAACCGCUUUGUUCAUUUGUCGAUUAAGCCAUAACAGUUGUUGUUUAAUUUAUUAUAAGAGAAAAGUACUCAUAAAUGACUCCUCGCAUUCGUCCAUUCAUCGUUUCCGCGUGAGAUCAACGUCCCUCUCCCUCCGAUCCGGCAUCCUUCUUGGAGGCAGAGGGACCCGCUUGUGUUGUGUACGUAUACCUACAAUAAUCCGCCGUAUGAGUAUGAAAAGCGGUCUCCAAUUGCGGCCUGUCGUAAAGUCGCUGACUUGCUGUUGGUCAGGACUCAUCCAAGCUAGUGAUCCUAAUCUGCGGUCGGCGCGCUACACAGACUGAAAACGAUUGUGUAUUGCAUUCUCUCGAGUUCUCUUAAAAUAACAAACACACUCUCCUCAAAAGAGUAUAACAAAUAGGCUUCCUUGGUCCCCAAGCGUGAGAGAUCAGACGAUCCGAUGAAGACAAUUUACAUAGUUAUUAUCCUGAUAAACUUGAAUUAUGUUUCUAAGUCGUUGAAGCAUACGACACUAUCAUUUGUUUGCACAUACUGAUUGGAACGUGCACCCACAGCUAGCGCGUCGCGUUGAGUCGUUGACCUGCAGCGAUGCGAGCUGGACAUGGACUAGUGGUGCCAUGCCCGAACUCCGAACCAGAGCACCCGGCCGUCUCCAACUAAUCGCGCUUCCCCUGCUUGCUUGCUCACUCCUCAGCUCGUCUCAUCCAUCGCCAUGCGUCUCCUCCACGUCCUCCUCCUCCUCCUCCUCCUCUCCCUGCACGCGGCGCCGCGCCCGUGCUCCGCGGCCACCACCGCCACCGACACGGUGUCCCCGGGCAAUGCGCUCGCCGGCACGGCGGCCAGGCUCGUCUCCAACAACAGCAAGUUCGCGCUGGGCUUCUUCAAGACGGACACCGCGUCCCCCAACACCUACCUCGGCAUAUGGUUCAACAAGGUCCCCAAGCUGACGCCGCUCUGGAGCGCCAACGGCGAGAGCCCCGUCGUCGACCCGGCGUCGCCGGAGCUCGCCAUCUCCGGCGACGGGAACCUGGUCAUCCGAGACCAGGCCACCAGGUCCGUCAUCUGGUCCACCCGCGCCAACAUCACCACCAACGCCACCGUCGCCGUGCUUCUCAGCAGCGGCAACCUCGUCCUGCGGAGCUCCACAAACUCCUCCCACGUCUUCUGGCAGAGCUUCGACUACCCGACGGACACGCUCUUCGCCGGCGCCAAGAUCGGCUGGAACAGGCGCACGGGCCUCAACCGCCGCCUCGUGUCGAGGAAGAACGCGCUGGACCAGGCGCCCGGCCUCUACUCUCUGGAGAUGACGGAGCGCGACGGGGUCGGCCACCUCCUCUGGAACUCCACCGUCGCCUACUGGUCCAGCGGGGGGUGGAACGGCAACUACUUCGGCCUGGCGCCGGAGAUGAUCGGCGCCGUCAUGCCCAGCUUCAGGUUCGUCAACAACGACGACGAGAUCUCCUUCAUGUACACGCUCCACGACGACACGGCGAUCGUGCACACCGCGCUGGAUGUCUCUGGGCAAGGCCUGGUGGGGUUUUGGCUGGACGGCAAGCAGGACUGGCUCAUCAAUUACAGGCAGCCUGUGGUUCAGUGCGACGUCUACGCCACCUGUGGGCCUUUCACGGUCUGCGACGACGCCGCCGACCCGACCUGCAGCUGCAUGAAGGGUUUCUCCGUGAGAUCACCCAGGGACUGGGAGCUCGGCGACCGGAGAGACGGGUGCGCGAGGAACACGCAGUUAGACUGUGACACCAACAGGACAGGUCUCAGUCUCACGGAUAAGUUCUUCGCCGUGCAAGGCGUCAGGUUGCCCCAAGACGCGAACAAAGUGCAGGCUGCUAAGAGUGGAGAUGAUUGCGCAGAGAUCUGCUUGGGUGACUGUUCCUGCACUGGGUAUUCCUACUGGAAUGGAGGCUGCUCUGUUUGGCAUGGGAAACUGUACAACGUGAAACAGCAGUCUGAUGCUUCUGCUAAUGGAAAUGGGGAAACACUUUACAUCCGCCUUGCUGCAAAGGAGGUGGUGGCAAGCGGUGUGGCAAGGAGGAAGAGAGGAAUCAGCGUUGGGGUUGCCACUGGUGUCGCCGUCGGUGCAAGCGCUGCCGCUUUGAUCCUGGUGGCCAUCCUUGGUGUGAUGAUUUGGAGGAGAAAAGGGAAGAGGAUCGAAAAUCCUCAGGGUGGCAUUGGAAUCAUUGCAUUUCGACAUGUCGAUUUGCAGCGUGCAACUAGAAACUUCUCAGAAAGGUUAGGGGGAGGCAGUUUUGGUUCUGUAUUCAAAGGGUACCUAGGUGACUCGGUUGCCUUGGCAGUGAAAAGGCUUGACGGUGCCCAUCAAGGAGAGAAGCAGUUCAGAGCAGAAGUCAAUUCAGUUGGAAUCAUCCAGCACAUCAAUCUAGUCAAACUGAUUGGAUUCUGUUGCGAAGAUGAUAAGAGGCUGCUUGUGUAUGAAUACAUGCCGAAUCACUCUCUUGAUGUGCAUUUAUUUAAGGCUAAUGGUACAGUUUUGGAUUGGAAUCUCAGGUACCAGAUAGCUAUUGGAGUUGCCAGAGGCCUGGCCUACUUGCACACUGGUUGUCGGGAUUGCAUCAUACAUUGUGACAUCAAGCCAGAGAAUAUACUCCUUGAUGCAUCUUUUGUACCUAAGAUUGCAGAUUUUGGAAUGGCAAAGGUCUUGGGGAGAGAAUUUAGCAAUGCAAUCACUACAAUGAGAGGAACUAUUGGGUACCUCGCGCCUGAAUGGAUUAGUGGAACCGCUGUUACAUCUAAAGUCGAUGUAUACAGCUAUGGGAUGGUUUUAUUCGAACUCAUAUCAGGAAGGAAGAACUCGAGUCCAGAGUACUUUGGGGAUGGCGAUUAUUCAAGCUUCUUCCCUAUGCAAGUUGCACGCAAGCUUCGCAGUGGAGAGGUUGGGAGUCUGGUGGAUGAAAAGCUGCAUAGUGAUGUGAAUCUCAUGGAGGUUGAAAGAGUUUGCAAAGUUGCAUGUUGGUGCAUUCAGGAAAAUGAGUCUGCUCGACCGACCAUGGCCGAGGUUGUGCAGUUUCUUGAGGGUCUUUCUGAGCUCGGUAUGCCACCACUGCCGAGACUACUCAAUGCGGUCACAGGAGGGUCACCGACAUGACUGACAUUUAGUCUUACCUCAAACUUAAGUAGGUUUAGCAAUCCAUGAGAAUGUUGUCAUUUUUAGUAUAUCCUAUCAGUAUAAACCUUGAAUUCGUGAAUAUAUUGUGGUUUUAGCUUAUGGUAACCAAGGAGGAGGAAAAUGUUUACUUGCAAAUCAAUUUGGUGACAUUUCUCAUUUUGUUAAAAAAAAGUUGUUCAAUAGAGUUGUACUACCUAAUUGUUCUCAUCAGAAGCUGGGAGAGCUGCUCUUACCUGGGGAAGCAAAGGUCACCUCCACGGCCAUGACCAAGCAAACGUGGAAUAUAGAUUUCCAUCUGGCACUAACACGAUGGGUCGGCCCGAGCACGACACUAAAAAACACGAUCCAGGCACAGCACGGUCCGAUGGUAGUGUCGUGCCUGGGCCGCAACUUCGGCCCGCAGUGCCGGCACGGGCACGGCACGGUUAAUAGACUGGCACGACGCUGGCACGAUUAUUUCCAUCGUCUGAUGCUUUGAGGAUAGAUCAUGACCAUUGAAUGUAUUCUGAGUCAUGUAUAUAAGCAUCACACAACCCUUUCAAACCCUAACUCCCUAGUCGGCGACGUAGACGCAUCCUUGCUGAGGCCACACUCUUUCUCCCGCCUGACUAUACGACAGGGGUGGCGCUCGUCUUCUCCAUGAGGCAGGGCGCAGUGAGCUUCUCGACUUCUCCCAAAGCCAUGGGCCGGCACGGGCACGAUGGACCACCGUGCCUAUCGGCACGGUUAAAGAGCCAUAGUGCCGUGUCUGGGCCGAGAGUUUGGCACGAUGGCCCGAGACGGCACGGCACGAUAGACAUAGUGCCGCAUAGUGCCGUAUAGUGCCAGAGCUGGGCCGCCCGUUUGGCCAAGUAUAACCUGGAAUGAGAACAGCAUGCUUGAGUUAGGUUCCCCGUCGAGGCAAUCCGUCGAGCACCUCGCGAGCACUGCACACUAUACACUCCACACGGCGAGUUAGGUUUCAGGGCAGCGCACGAAUGGAAUUGGAGAGGAGAAAUGAGAUGCGGAGUGGAGGCAGCUAGCGAUAGCGUACAAGAAAUCGCCGCGGCGGCAGAAGUUGGAUGCGUGGCCGCGCAGCUCUACUGUAGAGCCGUGCCGUGCAGCUGCAGCUGCUGGGCAAGUGACCCGGCCAGAUACAACAAAUACAGAUCUUUCUCGUUAAUGCCACAGCGUGUAAUAUUGAUAAGAACAACAUACUCACAAUAAGGACAACAUCAUAUCGAAUUCAGUUAAUGCCACAGCGUGUAAUAUUGAUAAGAAUGAGUUUAUUACAUUGUUACAUACUCACAAUCGUGUAAUUGUACCGCGUCACAUAUCAAUGCAAUUGAAAUGGUGAAAUGUGGUUCGUGCAAGAACAGAGGGUAAGGCUACAUUACAUUUCUCUAAGACACCACAUAUCAAUUGUGUUAACGUUCGUCCGUUGAUAAUAAACGAGACAACAGCAAACAAUCUCAGAAUGGAAUUAGUUCAAGAAUAAAGAGCAACCUUGCAAUAAUGCUCAUUCAGGUCACAAAUAAUAAGUGACUUUUUAGUGCUUUUCUUCUCUUGUCCUGAAUGAUAUGAACUGGUACAAAUAAAGAAAGCAUCGCGCCAUUUUCAUAGUCGAAAGUAAAGUUAAGAGAAGGAAUUAAAAUCCUAUCAAAAUGGUGUUACAAUCAAUUAUGACUUACAAAGAUAUGAUGUCUAAUUAGUAAAAAUCUUUGCUACUGUUUCACCAAAAAUCUACAUGCCUUCUUUGAUAAGACAUGAUAGUGUCUUAAAGAAAAGGAUAUGUCCUUGAAAAAUGGAAUCAAAGUGUUACUAUUAUGUAACACAAAAACAUGCAGUUGCAUCAAGAUUAAACAGAAUUAAAAGUUACUAACAGUGGGGGGGGAUUCUGUUCCACCUUAGCUUGCAGGAGAUCACAAGCAUAAGUUUCAAUAAGCAACAACACAUGACCCAAACACAAGUUCAGGAAACAGCUACAAACCAUUUUUUUACUCUUAACACAAAACCAUCCUAAGCACAUUAGCAUCCUGGAAUGUGAUACGGAGAGCAUCAGUGGCUAACAUGUGGCGGACAAUCUAUGGAUACAACACAGCAUGCCCAUCAGCCACACCAUCACCUGCAAGGUUAUUACUAGUAUAAACAUCAGUCAACCUGGAGAUUGGCUAAAUAAGACGCGAAGUGCUAUAGAUCUACAUUCUACAAUGCAUGCAAGUAUGUAUCACAAAACACACAAUCAACCAGCAGAAUGAAGAACAGAUGCAUAUAUACAUCACAAGAUAGACAUGUCCAACGAUUAGCACAAAUUCAUCACGAUAAGUUCACUACAUGAGCAUUGCACUUCCAUAGGCAACUCCGAUGUUCUUACAGGUACCACUCAUGGAUCAAACCAUGGCCAGAUAAUUAAGUGUCAAAUGUAUUUCACAGGAUGCAUCAGCACAGGACUAGUAACCAACAUAUUUCCCCCAAAAAGAAGUAGGCAGCACAUCAAGGCCAGACAAAUACUGGUGAAGUUAACAUAGCUUAGGAGUACUUAAUCGCCAUACAAUGGUCAAAGAAAACCUCUUCACUUCAGUCUUAAGGGAACAGCCAUGUGGCAAGAAUCAUCUCAUGCUUCCAGAUCAUCGGCAGAGGGGAGGAGACCUCGCCGGUUCUCAUGUCAUAGACACUGACAGAAGUGGUCUCCUCAUGAAAGGAGUACUUGCAGUUCUCCAUAACAUCAUCCAAGAAGAAGAUUUGGUCACCUGGCAUACCAUACUGAGAUGCAGUCACGGCCCUAGAGCAUGAACGUCCAAGGAAAAUCAUCUGGUCAUCCCCCAGCGAUGUCACAUUCACCCACCGUGAGCGCUCUAAGUCAGCCUUGAAAACCUCAAACUCACACUGUCCAGACACAGCUGCCUCACCUGCCACGCUACAGCAAACCUUCCUGCGUACCAUCAGCAAUGCACCACAAGAUUCGACAAGGUAGAGCUUCUUUUUGCCCAUAGUGUCUUGUAGCAUAUCAGCUGAGUACCAGUUGUCUGGCAUAGAAGCUGAUUCCCAGGGAUCACCCUUGAUCACCUGUCCAAUCCGGGAGAUCUGUGGAUUGCCAGUGCUUGGGUCUUGGCUGAUAUUGAUGAUAAGGAGGUUCUCAUCAUCAGCAAGGGCAUAGAGCUUUCCCUGAUAGAAUGCCAUAUCUUGAAACAAUUUGCACUUGUCAUUUGCACGUACUGACCAUGAUGAAGACUCCGGCUGGCACACUAGAAUCUGACUGGUGCAUCCACAGCCAUUGAGUGUACUGCCGGCGAAUGCGGCGACGAGGUUUGGCGAGCACAAGAUUAGCUUAUUUAGUGUGGGCAUCUUCUUCGACUCCUUGAUAUGCAUCCAGGUUGCGUAAGGGUAGAACACGCUUACAUGUGCAUCUUGUCCCGGAACCGGAACAUUGACAUAUUUAGCAACGGCAUUUGGGGGGCGAAGUUUGACUUGAGACAGAGGAGGGAGCGUCACUGUGGCUCCAACGAAGGGGUCCACCAAGAAGCAGCCGUCAUCGCGCGAGAAGACGAGCCAGCUGCCACAGGCGGCGGUCUUGUAGCCAGCGCAGCCGAAGCCAGGGAAUCGGAAGGACUUGCCGUAGGGGAGGCUGUAGAAGGUGCCGUCCGGGAGCGCCAGCAGCGGGAGCGGUGGGGGCAGGGGGAGCUGCCGCGCGGCGGCGCGCCACUGCGGGCACACGGCGGCGAAGCAGGCCCGGUCCACGCAGGCCGGGAGGAAACGGAGCACCCUGCCGGCAAGGUCCGCCGGGAGGUCGGCCCACGACG
rnacentral:lncRNA from 1 species